ACCUGCCAUGCCUUCUCGACUGCGGCGUUGAAGUGGACCAUUCCGGCCGUCCAGGGAUUGUCGAGCAGUGUGUUGUCAGAGAUGAACAGGACCUUGUGCGCCAGCACGUUCUUGUAGUACUGGUUGUCGAAGGUCGCCGGCGUGACUGGGUCAAGCGGCACCACCGUGGGGUCCAUCUGGUCGUCGCUGGACGGCCAAGGGCACCGCGCCUUGAGGUGCCCGGCGUAGGCGGGGUCGAGGGACGGGUCUGUCUGCCCCAGCUGCCCGCUGAAGUUGUAGAGCCGCUGCGUGAAGGAGGAGCAGUGGGAGCGGCCGAUGGUGUGCGCGCCGGAGAGCGUGACCAUGUCGUCGGCGUUGAGCCCCUUGCGCUUGAAGCUCUCGAUGAGCUCGUCGACCUCGUCAGUCGGGGCGGGGACAUUGUUGUCGAGCACCUCCUCCUCUUUGGACACGCGGCCGUCACGGCGGCCCGACGGGACCUUGUAGUCCAGGCCGCCGGCGAGGUAGGUGCUGUCACGGGCCGCGAACGCGACGAUGUCGGCGCAGGAGACGGUGCGCGGGCAGUGCGCCUCGAGGACGGCCUUGGCGUCGUCGAUGACGUCGAAGCCGCGCAUGCUGGGGUUGUUGGCCACGGAGUCCUUCUCGGCCAGGUUGCCCGGCGUGGAGUUGAUGAGGAUGGAGCCGUCGCAGCCCCGGACGAAGCAGUCGUGGAAGUGCAUCCGGAUGAGCCCCGCGCCGACGCCGGGCUCACGGGCGAUGCCGCGGCGGACGGCGUUGCGCACGAUGUCCUCGGCCUGUGCGCAUGAGUGCUCGUAGAAACCGACCUCAAGUUUCCCCGGCGAGGCGUGUACGUGUGCCGCUGAUGAGGAGACGACGACGAGCGCCGACAAGGCAAAUGCCAACCAAGUGGACCUCAUGACGAAGGUGAACAAUUGGUCGAUCAGAUGCUGCUCUCUCACUCUGAGCUUUCUAUCUGCUUUAGCUCUGGAGCUCGAUCGAGAUGGUGACGAGGAGAGGAGAUGAAGAGCUGCUUUAGAUGUUACUCUCUAUUUAUACAAUGUGCUUGGAACCGUGUUUGUGAACCGGGUCAACGAAUAAUAAGCAAGACCCAAUAUAAUCCCUGCAUCGCGAUAACAAUCGAGUAACAACUGCUACAAGAACCGUGUCAGUGGACUUUGUAGUACAUAUAUGUCAGCAUGUACCUAAUAAUGUUGCCCAGACUUUGUUGUAGCAGCAAAUGAUGAGCAAAGCAGACAGUUGUUUAGAGAUCGAAAAUGAUGUUAGUUGCUUGAUCAGAGAAUUCAUGGAGACACAUACAGUUAAUUUUUUUAUUGACAUGGUCGAUGCCCCUACCGCAUGACCAGGACAAAUCAAAGCCGUGUCCAAAAUGGAUUGUGUCAUCACUAAGGCAAGGUCCAACCGGACUUUCCUUGUGCUUGCUCUUGAUGUUUCUUGAGUGCAAAAAAAGUUUUAAAAUGUGUUUCUCUGUUAAAUAGGUUUUCCUCAUAAAUUACCAAAAUUUUCUGGCAAUUAUCUCAUUUUCCUAUAGCUAUUUAUAUUUAUUAGAAGGCUCUAAAAUAUUUUUAUGAACUCCAAAUAUUUUAUUUGGAUUCCUAAACCUGUAGGAUGUUAUUUCCUAGAAUUUUCGGAACCUUCGUGACCCUAUCCACUCGUCGGAGUCAUCUCCUGAAUCUCUAAACUAAGGGUGUGUUUGGUUUGGCUUUUGGCUUUGGCUUUUGCCCCCUAAAAGUCAAAAGCCAAACCAAAAGGCUGGAUCCAGAAAGCAGCUUUUUCUAAAAGCUGACUUUCUCAUAGUGCAAAACUGAAAACACACCUAGACCUGCUUUUAGUAGCUUUCGGAUGGAACUGUGAAAACAUAUAUCGAAAUACUUUUAACGGCUUUUAGUGGUUUCACCAAAUAAUUUUUAGCUUUUUAAUAGCUCACAGCCCACAACAGCUUUUUCCACAGCUCACAGCACACAUCAGCUUUUUUCACAGCCACAGCCCAACCAAACAGACUCUAAGUCGUCAUGAUUAUUAGAUGGUCUAAUAUGAGUAGGACUUCAGAAGUAUAAAUAUGGCAAAAAUAUCAUUUGAAUAGAAGAGACAAGUUAGAGUCCUAAACAAAUAAGACAAUAUUCCAACAUAUAAGGUAGAGUCAUAAGCAAAUAAGACAUUAUUCUAACGGAUAAGAAAGUCACACUUGUAACUAUAGAGAGUCAUGUGACUUAAUCGUAUUCAGCACUUUAACCGCCCACCUCCUUGGACUAUAUAAGGAGAGACAAUGCAGCCCCAUGAGCAUAAACCAGAAUAUAACAGAUCAGUAGCCAUCAAAACACUGGACAUAGGGUAUUAUAUCAUGACGAGAGCCUAAACCAGCCUAACCUAUAAAUUGACCCUCGGGAAAUCCUCGAUAGAGGGGUUUGAAGUCCAACCUACAAAAGCAUUAGAGCAACGACUAAGAAAGGCAAGUGUGUUCUUGAUCUCGUUGUUUUACUUAAUAAUGUUUACUAUUAUGUUCUCACCUAUGUAUUGCACUGUUAGAUUAACCCGAUGGGACCUAAUAGGUUACCUAACUUUGUUUUCCCUAUACCUUGUUUACCCCUAAGUUACUAAUUAUUGGGUAGACAUUCUUGUGCUCAACUUUGUUUUUGGGAAUAAUGAUACUUAUGAUUCAUGGUCAUGUUUUAUUAUGAUUUUUAUUGUCGGUUUAUUUAUUGUGCAUGAUAAGUCCACCUUGUUUAAUUGGGACAUGGAGAACCAGUCGAGAAAACAAUGUAACCACAACUACUUUUAUGGCUCUAUUCUUAGCUAAUUGAUCAUGAAAGCUGGUGUGUAAGAACCUACCUCAACAGGACCAAGCAGGGAGGAGUUGCUCAAGUAUAGGGAGGUUCUCAAGUUGAUCUGCUUUGCGGAAGCUUUUCAGACGAGGGGUUUAUAUACCAACUCCAUUUGAAACCGUAGCGGGUUUUCUCAUGCCAGUGGAAAUUUGUAAAGGCCUUGUAGUGAACCCUUCCUCACCUCCCUAGAAGAGAUGUAUGGGACCUUGAGCCCUUGGCAAAUGGGUAACAUAACUAUGGGUAAAGAUGUGCAACCUCUGCAGUGUGUAAAACUGAUAUAUCAGUCGUGCUCACGUUUACGAGCGGCUCGAACCCUCACAUGAUUAAAUUAUGGAAUUAAAUUAAAUCGGACGUGCAUUUUAUUAGGGGCGAAAACGGGUUGGGUAUAUCCCAUUUUUCGAUACGGAUUCAAGUAUUUUUAUACCUGGGACGGAUACGGGUAGUACCUGGAUAGUGCAGCUUCAGACGCGGUACUCGGAUAUUCGGGUCAGAUACAAGCAUAUAAAAUUUGGGUACCCGUUUUAUCUUUUUCUGCAUAAUAUAGUUAUUGUCGGUACCCUGAAUCAGGGGUGCCCUCUUCUACAGCAUGAAGACGCUGUACACGUACGACGCCUCCAGACCACACGGAGAACGGCACCCGACCCCACCACAUGGGUAGGUCUAAGGGCACCACGUGGCAAGGAAAGAUAAUACAUCCUAGGAUGCAUCAUUGGGUCCGGGCCUCCUUAGAGGGACACCGGACCCCUGUACGUACAACUCUAGAGCUCCCAAGAAGGCAUGCCGGGUCCCUCGGGUAGGCCCCGGGUCCCUCCGAGUAAGGUCUGGGCCUUGGCAAGGUCCAGGGACGGGGAGGACCCUGGCAUGAGUAAGGGUCCGGUUCUGGCACGUGUCCAGGCCUUGCCCUACGCUCCCCACUCAGGCGGAGACCCGCUGCUGCCGCGUGGCUUGUGACCCGUGACAUAAGCCAACGGAUCGAGCCUGACGAAAAGCCCCUAAAGCCGCGCAACCUCUGCAUUUAUUGCGGAUAGGUGAGAGCACCUAGAGGGGGGGGUGAAUAGGUGAUCCUGUAACACUUCAAAAUCUUAAGCCACAAAACUUGGUUAAUCGUUAGCACAAUAAUUGCCAAGUGGCUAGAUCGGAAUCCUCAACAAAACACAACAACCAACAAGGAUCAAUCACAGAGAUGACACGGUGGUUAUCCCGUGGUUCGGCCAAGACCAACGCUUGCCUACUCCACGUUGUGGCGUCCCAGCGGACGAGGGUUGCAAUCAACCCCUCUCAAGUGGUCCAAAGACCCACUUGAAUACCAUGAUGUUUUGCUUUGCUUAUCUUUAUCCCACUUGCGAGGAAUCUCCACAAAUUGGAGUCUCUCGCCCUUACACUUAAAGUUCACAAAGAAGCACGGAGUAAGGGAGGGAAGCAACACACACAAAUCCACAGCAAAAUGCGCACACACACGGCCAAGAAUCGAGCUCAAAAGACUAUCUCAAAGUUCUCACUAGAACGGAGCUCGAAUCACUGAGAAUGACAAACGAAUGCGCAAAGACUGAGUGUGGAUGAUCAAGAAUUCUCUAAGGUUGCUUGGUUAUCUCCUCCAUGCGCCUAGGGGCCCCUUUUAUAGCCCCAAGGCAGCUAGGAGCCAUUGAGAACAAAUCUGGAAGGCCAUCCUUGCCUUCUGUCGUCGGGCGCACCGGACAGUCCGGUGCACACCGGACAGUGUCCGGUGCCCGAUUUCCUUCCUUAAAUGGCGAAGCCGACCGUUGGCAGACUUGGAGCCGUUGGCGCACAGGACAUGUCCGGUGCACACCGGACAGUCCGGUGCCCCCUUCUAGCCGUUGGCUCGGCCACGUGUCCCGCGCAGAUCGCGCGGCCGACCGUUGGCCCGACCGACCGUUGGCUCACCGGACAGUCCGGUGCACACCGGACAGUCCGGUGAAUUAUAGCCGUACGUCGCCGGUGAAAUUCCCGAGAGCGGCUAGUUCGCUCGAGACAGCCUAGCGCACCGGACACUGUCCGGUGCACCACCGGACAGUCCGGUGCUCCAGACCGAACAGCCUUUUGGCUGUACACAGCCAACUUUUCUCUGACUCGAUUUCUCCUGUUUCAAGCACUUAGACACAGUACAUUAGUCUUCAAAACAAUGUACUAAGGCUUUAGAAACAUACCUUUACUCUUGAUUUGCACUUUGUCCAUCCAUGAGCAUAAAUUCACAUUUAAGCACUUGUGUUGGCACUCAAUCACCAAAAUACUUAGAAAUGACCCAAGGGCACAUUUCCCUUUCAAUCUCCCCCUUUUUGGUGAUUUAUGCCAACACAACAUAAAGCAACUAGAACAAGUGCAAUAUCACUUCAAAUAAAACUCAAAUUUAUUUUUCUAAGUCAAACACACAUGUUGAAGCAUAAAGAGAGUCAUUCCAAAAGAGAUUGAUCAAAGAUUUCAAAAACUCCCCCUAUUUCCCAUAAUCAACACUUCUCCCCACAAGAAGCCAACUUUUGACAAGAGAGACAAUAAAAGAGUUUGACAAAACAAAAACUCUAUUCUACUAUUUUCAAAAUCUCUCAAGUGGUAGCUGAUCCAUUUAUCGCUUUGGCCUUUAUUUUCUCCCCCUUUGGCAUCAAGCACCAAAACGGGAUCAAUCUUGGCCCUUUAACCCCAGUGCCUCACCAAAAUCUUCAAUUAAGAGCAAAUGGCAAUAAGAGUUCAUGAGAUGAACUUGGAAUAAGUUACCCUCUCAUCGGAGUGCAGUGGAAGUCUUUCAUGGUCCAAGUCCACCUUUUCCCUUUCAAUCCUCCUUCGAGACUAAAUCAUCAAACUCAAGCACAUGGUUAGUCUCAAAGGGUCAAGUUGUAACACAUCUCCCCCUAAACAUGUGCAUCAAUUUGCAACGGACUUGUGAGGUCCAGGGAGUGUUUGUACAACUUGAGCACCACAAUAAGCAACAAAAUGCAGAAGGAACAUGAUCAAAGGCAUAAACACAAGUAUGCUAUAAAUCAAUCCAAGUUCCGCGAAUCUAAGACGUUUAGCUCACUACGCAACCUGCAAAAGGUCUUCUCAUCUAGAGGCUUGGUAAAGAUAUCGGCUAGCUGGUUCUCGGUGCUAACAUGAAACACUUCGAUAUCUCCCUUUUGCUGGUGGUCUCUCAAAAAGUGAUGCCGGAUGUCUAUGUGCUUUGUGCGGCUGUGCUCAACAGGAUUUUCCGCCAUGCGGAUAGCACUCUCAUUGUCACAUAGGAGUGGGACUUUGCUCAGAUUGUAGCCAAAGUCCCAGAGGGUUUGCCUCAUCCAAAGUAGUUGCGCGCAACACUGCCCUGCGGCAACAUACUCGGCCUCAGCGGUGGAUAGGGCAACGGAGGUUUGUUUCUUAGAAUUCCAUGACACCAGGGACCUUCCUAAGAAUUGGCACGUCCCCGAUGUACUCUUCCUAUCGACCUUACAUCCAGCAUAGUCGGAGUCUGAGUAUCCAACCAAGUCAAAGGUAGACCCCUUUGGAUACUAGAGCCCGAAGCAAGGCGUAGCAACCAAAUAUCUAAGAAUUCGCUUCACCGCCACUAAGUGACACUCCUUAGGAUCGGAUUGAAAUCUAGCACACAUACAUACGCUAAGCAUAAUAUUCGGUCUACUAGCACAUAAAUAAAGUAAAGACCCUAUCAUUGACCGGUAUGCUUUUUGAUCAACGGACUUACCUCCUUUGUUGAGGUCGGUGUGUCCGUCGGUCCCCAUCGGAGUCUUUGCGGGCUUGGCGUCCUUCAUCCCAAACCGCUUUAGCAGAUCUUGCGUGUACUUCGUUUGGGAGAUGAAGGUGCCGUCCUUGAGUUGCUUCACUUGGAACCCAAGGAAGUAGUUCAACUCGCCCAUCAUCGACAUCUCGAAUUUCUGAGUCAUUACCCUGCUAAACUCUUCACAAGACUUUUGGUUAGUAGAACCAAAUAUUAUGUCAUCGACAUAAAUUUGGCACACAAACAAAUCACCAUCACAUGUCUUAGUGAACAGAGUUGGAUCGGCUUUCCCAACCUUGAAAGCAUUAGCAAGUAAAAAGUCUCUAAGGCAUUCAUACCAUGCUCUUGGGGCUUGCUUAAGUCCAUAGAGCGCCUUAGAGAGCUUACACACGUGGUCGGGGUACCGUUCAUCCUCGAAGCCAGGGGGUUGCUCCACGUACACCUCCUCCUUGAUUGGCCCGUUGAGGAAAGCACUCUUCACAUCCAUUUGGAACAACCUGAAAGAAUGGUGAGCGGCAUAUGCUAGCAAGAUACGAAUUGAUUCUAGCCUAGCCACAGGAGCAAACGUCUCCUCAAAGUCCAAACCUGCGACUUGGGCAUAGCCUUUUGCCACAAGUCGAGCCUUGUUCCUCGUCACCACCCCGUGCUCGUCCUGUUUGUUGCGGAACACCCACUUGGUUCCCACAACAUUUUGCUUGGGACGAGGCACCAGUGUCCAAACUUCAUUGCGCUUGAAGUUGUUGAGUUCCUCCUGCAUGGCCAAUACCCAAUCCGGAUCUAGCAAGGCCUCCUCUACCCUGAAAGGCUCAAUAGAAGAGACAAAGGAGUAAUGCUCACAAAAAUUAACUAAUCUAGAUCGAGUAGUUACUCCCUUGCUAAUGUCACCCAAAAUUUGGUCGACGGGAUGAUUCCUUUGAAUCACCGCUCGAACUUGGGUUGGAGGUGCCGGUUGCGCUUCUUCCUCCAUCAAGUGAUCAUCUUGUGCUCCCCCUUGAUCACAUGCCUCCUUUUGAUGAACCUGUUCAUCGUCUUGAGGUGGGGGAUGCACCGUUGUUGAGGAAGAAGGUUGAUCUCUUUCAUCUUGUUCCUGUGGCCGCACUUCUCCAAUCGCCAUGGUUCGUAUAGCGGCCGUCGGAACAUCUUCUUCAUCUACAUCAUCACAAUCAACAACUUGCUCUCUUGGAGAGCCAUUAGUCUCAUCAAAUACAACGUCGCUAGAGACUUCAACCAAACCCGAUGAUUUGUUGAAGACUCUAUACGCCUUUGUAUUUGAGUCAUAACCUAACAAAAAUCCUUCUACAGCUUUGGGAGCAAAUUUAGAAUUUCUACUCUUCUUCACUAGAAUGUAGCACCUGCUCCCAAAUACACGAAAGUAAGAUACAUUGGGUUUGUUACCGGUUAGUAGCUCAUACGAAGUCUUCUUGAGGAGACGAUGAAGGUAGACCCUGUUGAUGGCAUGGCAAGCCGUGUUCACGGCUUCCGACCAAAAACACUCGGGGGUCUUGAAUUCUCCAAGCAUCGUCCUUGCCAUAUCGAUUAGCGUCCUGUUCUUCCUCUCUACCACACCAUUUUGCUGUGGUGUGUAGGGAGCGGAGAACUCGUGCUUGAUCCCCUCCUCCUCAAGAAACUCUUCUACUUGAAGAUUCUUGAAUUCGGACCCGUUGUCGCUCCUUAUCUUCUUCACCUUGAGUUCAAACUCAUUUUGAGCUCUCCUGAGGAAGCGCUUGAGGGUCCAUUGGGUUUCAGACUUAUCCUGCAAAAAGAACACCCAAGUGAAGCGGGAAAAGUCAUCAAUAAUAACUAAACCAUACUUACUUCCUCCUAUACUUAGAUAGGCGACGGGUCCGAAGAGGUCCAUAUGCAGCAGCUCCAGAGGUCUUGAAGUGGUCAUCAUAUUCUUGCUGUGAUGCGCUCCUCCCACUUGUUUACCUGUUUGACAAGCUGCACAAGGUCUAUCUUUUUCGAAUUGCACGUUAGACAAACCUACCACAUGUUCUCCCUUUAGAAGCUUGUGAAGGUUCUUCAUCCCUACAUGUGCUAAGCGGCGAUGCCAUAGCCAGCCCAUGCUAGUCUUAGCUAUUAAGCAUGCAUCUAGACCGGCCUCCUCUUUUGCAAAAUCAACUAAAUAAAGUUUGCCGUCUAAUACACCCUCAAAAGCUAGUGAACCAUCACUUCUUCUAAAGACAGACACAUCUACAUUUGUAAAAAGACAAUUAUACCCCAUAUUGCAUAGUUGACUAACGGAUAGCAAAUUGUAACCAAGAGACUCAACUAAAAACACAUUAGAGAUGGAGUGCUCAUUAGAAAUUGCAAUUUUACCUAACCCUUUUACCUUGCCUUGAUUCCCAUCACCGAAUAUAAUUGAAUCUUGGGAAUCCUUAUUCUUGACGUAGGAGGUGAACAUCUUCUUCUCCCCCGUCAUAUGGUUUGUGCAUCCGCUGUCAAUAAUCCAGCUUGAACCCCCGGAUGCAUAAACCUGCAAGGCAAAUUUAGGCUUGGGACUUAGGUACCCAACUCUUGUUGGGUCCUACAAGGUUAGUCACAAUUGUCUUAGGGACCCAAAUGCAAGUUUUAUCACCCUUGCAUUUUGCCCCUAAUUUCCUAGCAAUCACCUUUCUAUCCUUUCUACAAAUUGCAAAGGAAGCAUUUAAAGCACAAUAAAUUGUAGAAGGUUCAUUCACUACUUUCCUAGGAGCAUGAAUAAUAUUCUUUCUAGGCACAUGAUGAGUAGCAUUUCUCCUAGACAUUUUUCUACCAUGCAUAUAGGAAAAACUAGAAGCAAACAUGUCAUGAGAAUCAAAAUCAUCAUAAGCAUUACAACUCCUAUAAGCAUUUCUAGUUUGUCUCCUUUCAUGAUACAUAAAAGCAUGGUUUCUUUUAGUACUACUAGCCAUAGGAGCCUUCCCUUUCUCCUUGGCGGAGAUAGGAGCCUUAUGGCUUGUUAAGUCCUUGGCCUCCCUCUUGUAGCCAAGUCCAUCCUUAAUUGAGGGGUGUCUACCAAUCGUGUAGGCAUCCCUUGCAAAUUUCAGCUUAUCAAAUUCAUUCUUGCUAGUCUUAAGUUGGGCAUUAAGACUAGCAACUUCAUCAUUUAAUCUCGAAAUUGAAACUAGGUGUUCACUACAUGCAUCAAUAUCAAAAUUCUUACACCUAGUACAAAUUAUAACAUGUUCUACACAAGAAUUAGAUUUAUUUGCUACUUCUAAUUUAGCAUUUAAAUCAUUGUUAACACCUUGUAAAGUAGAAAUGGUUUCGUGACAAGAAGAUAAUUCACUAGAGAGCAUUUCAUUCCUUUUAAUUUCUAGAGCAAGAGAAUUUUGUGCACUAACAAAUUUAUCAUGCUCCUCAUAUAAAAGAUCCUCUUGUUUUUCUAGUAAUCUAUUCUUGUCAUUCAAAGCAUCAAUCAACUCAUUAAUCUUAUUAAUUUUAGAUCUAUCUAAUCCUUUGAAUAAGCAUGAGUAAUCUAUCUCAUCAUCAUCACUAGACUCAUCCUCACUUGAAGUAUAAGUACUAGUAUCAUGAGUGCUUACUUUCUUCUCCCUUGCCAUGAGGCAAGUGUGAUGCUCGUUGGGGAAGAGAGAUGACUUGUUGAAGGCGGUGGCGGCGAGUCCUUCAUUGUCGGAGUCGGAGGAGGAGCAAUCCGAAUCCCACUCCUUUCCGAUAUGUGCCUCGCCCUUGGCCUUCUUGUAAUGCUUCUUCUUCUCCCUUUUGUUCCCCUUUUCCUGGUCACUUUCAUUAUCGGGACAGUUAGCAAUGAAAUGACCAAUCUUACCACAUUUGAAGCACGAGCGUUUCUCCUUUGUCUUGGUCUUGCUUGGCUGUCCCUUGCGACCUUUAAGUGCCGUCUUGAAGCGCUUAAUGAUGAGGGCCAUCUCCUCAUUAUUUAGCCCGGCCGCCUCAACUUGCGCCACCUUGCUUGGUAGCGCCUCCUUGCUCCUCGUUGCCUUGAGAGCAAUGGGUUGAGGCUCAUGAAUAGGACCGUUCAACGCGUCGUCCACGUAUCUCGCCUCCUUGAUCAUCAUUCGCCCGCUUACGAACUUCCCAAGAACUUCUUCGGGCGACAUCUUGGUGUACCUAGGAUUUUCACGAAUGUUGUUCACCAAAUGAGGAUCAAGAAUGGUAAAAGACCUUAGCAUUAGGCGGACGACGUCGUGGUCCGUCCAUCGCGUGCUUCCGUAGCUCCUUAUUUUGUUGAUAAGGGUCUUGAGCCGGUUGUAUGUUUGUGUUGGCUCCUCGCCCCUUAUCAUUGCGAAUCGACCAAGCUCGCCCUCCACCAACUCCAUCUUGGUGAGCAGGGUGACAUCAUUCCCCUCAUGAGAUAUCUUGAGGGUGUCCCAGAUUUGCUUAGCAUUGUCCAAGCCGCUCACCUUAUGGUACUCGUCCCUGCACAAAGAGGCUAGCAACACAGUAGUAGCUUGUGCAUUUUUAUGAAUCUGUUCAUUAAUAAACAUGGGACUAUCCGUACUAUCAAAGUGCAUUCCACUCUCUACAAUCUCCCAUAUGCUAGGAUGGAGAGAGAACAAGUGACUACGCAUUUUGUGACUCCAAAAUCCGUAGUCCUCUCCAUCAAAAUGAGGAGGUUUACCAAGUGGAAUAGAUAAUAAAUGAGCAUUAGUACUUUGAGGAAUACGAGAGUAAUCAAAAGAAAAGUUCGAAUUGACCGGUUUCUUUCUCUCGUAGUCGUUGUGGUCGUCGUCCUUUUGGGAGGAAGUAGACUCAUCGCUGUCGUAGUAGACGAUCUCCUUGAUGCGUCUUGUCUUCUUCUUCUUCCCAUCUUUGCGUCUGUGGCCCGAGCCCGAGUCGUUGGACUUGUCAUCCCUUGGCUCGUUGACGAAGGACUCCUUCUCCUUGUCGUUGAUCACGAUUCCCUUCCCCUUAGGAUCCAUCUCUUCGGGCGGUUAGUCCCUUUCUUGAAGAGAACGGCUCUGAUACCAAUUGAGAGCACCUAGAGGGGGGGGGGGUGAAUAGGUGAUCCUGUAACACUUCAAAAUCUUAAGCCACAAAACUUGGUUAAUCGUUAGCACAAUAAUUGCCAAGUGGCUAGAUCAGAAUCCUCAACAAAAUACAACAACCAACAAGGAUCAAUCACAGAGAUGACACGGUGGUUAUCCCGUGGUUCGGCCAAGACCAACGCUUGCCUACUCCACGUUGUGGCGUCCCAGCGGACGAGGGUUGCAAUCAACCCCUCUCAAGCGGUCCAAAGACCCACUUGAAUACCACGAUGUUUUGCUUUGCUUAUCUUUAUCCCACUUGCGAGGAAUCUCCACAAAUUGGAGUCUCUCGCCCUUACACUUAAAGUUCACAAAGAAGCACGGAGUAAGGGAGGGAAGCAACACACACAAAUCCACAGCAAAAUGCGCACACACAUGGCCAAGAAUCGAGCUCAAAAGACUAUCUCAAAGUUCUCACUAGAACGGAGCUCGAAUCACUGAGAAUGACAAACGAAUGCGCAAAGACUGAGUGUGGAUGAUCAAGAAUGCUCUAAGGUUGCUUGGUUAUCUCCUCCAUGCGCCUAGGGGCCCCUUUUAUAGCCCCAAGGCAGCUAGGAGCCGUUGAGAACAAAUCUGGAAGGCCAUCCUUGCCUUCUGUCGUCGGGCGCACCGGAUAGUCCGGUGCACACCGGACAGUGUCCGGUGCCCGAUUUCCUUCCUUAAAUGGCGAAGCCGACCGUUGGCAGACUUGGAGCCGUUGGCGCACCGGACAUGUCCGGUGCACACCGGACAGUCCGGUGCCCCCUUCUAGCCGUUGGCUCGGCCACGUGUCCCGUGCAGAUCGCGCGGCCGACCGUUGGCCCGGCCGACCGUUGGCUCACCGGACAGUCCGGUGCACACCGGACAGUCCGGUGAAUUAUAGCCGUACGUCGCCGGUGAAAUUCCCGAGAGCGGCUAGUUCGCUCGAGACAGCCUGGCGCACCGGACACUGUCCGGUGCACCACCGGACAGUCCGGUGCUCCAGACCGAACAGCCUUUUGGCUGUACACAGCCAACUUUUCUCUGACUCGAUUUCUCCUGUUUCAAGCACUUAGACACAGUACAUUAGUCUUCAAAACAAUGUACUAAGGCUUUAGAAACAUACCUUUACUCUUGAUUUGCACUUUGUCCAUCCAUGAGCAUAAAUUCACAUUUAAGCACUUGUGUUGGCACUCAAUCACCAAAAUACUUAGAAAUGACCCAAGGGCACAUUUCCCUUUCAAUAGGACGCACUGCCUGCCACCACACUGACGGACGACGUGCCCUCUCAGCAUUUAAUGCGUCCUGUCCAAUUCGCUGGCAGACAGCGUUAGGGUCAUCCAGCAGACGGCGCGCCUAUCCAGUCUGUUGACGAACAGUGCGCCUGUUCCGUGCGGCGUACUGUGCUCACCACCCCUUCUACAAGAAGCUUCCCCUGCACGCCGAGGAUACACAGAUCUCGGAUGUCAGGGCACAAGAAGAUUGCCCCAGCAGCGAACAUUUGUAGCUCCAAACGCUAUAUUCAUUAUGUCUCUGGGCCCACAUAUCGGGGUUCAGUACCUUUGUGCAUGCCCCCUUCAGCUAUAAAAGGGGAGGCAUGCGGCGUUACAAGACAGAUCCAAUCUUAGGCUCACUCAGACACUCACAAGUUCAUACAAGCUCUCAAGCAAUACAUCACACAGUGGAGUAGGGUGUUACGCUCCGGCGGCCUGAACCACUCUAAAUCCUUGUGUGUUCUUGUGUUGUUCCCAUUUUCCGACUAACAAGCAAAACGCCUAGGCCCCUCCUCAUCUUAGGAUUUAGGACAGGUGCACUUCGCCACCCGGCCGGAGAUUUCCUCUCCGACAUUUGGCGCACCAGGUAGGGGGCUAGGCAUUAGAUUUUUGCUUGUUUCCUUGCUCAAGCAUGAUGGUGCAAAUCGUUGAGCACCGUGCCGAGACUUCGGUAGAUUUCGCGGUGGAAGGAGAAGCUGCUUCUUCCAUGCCACAAGUUCCUGUAACACCCACUUUGUAAGAAAAUUCUAAAAGAGAAAUUAUAUCACUCUACAUCUAUAUGUACUACCACUGUUUAUCAUUUUUCAUGUGGACACAUUACUUACACACAAAAAAAUAAUAAUAACAAAAGACACUCAAUUAAAUCAUGCAUCAUGCUGGAUUUUGUUUUGUUUGCAUUUUGUGACAACAUAUAAUAAUGUGAAAAAUGUUAAAUAUCCAAAUGGGAAAUUAAAUCCUAAAAGAAAUUCUAAAAUUUGGAAAGAAAGAAAGAAAAAUACUAUGCAAUACAAAAAUAAAACUUAUAAAUAGAUAAAUUUAUUCCACAAUGAUUUAUCCAAAUCAUAUACUCAGAAAAUUUGAGUACAAGUUCAUCACAAAUUUGAAAUUCAAACUUAGAUUCAAAAAUAAGAGAAAAGAGAAAGGAAAAUGAAAAUAUAAAAGAAAAAGGGUGCUGUGCUCGAUUGGGCCUAAACCAACCAAUUCGGCCCAAUACCAAAUUUCACCCUGCGCAGCCCAGCUUCUAUUCUUUGCGCCGACUGAUGGGGCCCACUGGCCAGUCACAAGCCCCUCGCGCGCACACCGGUUCGGAUCGCUGCUGGCGGGACCGCCCAGUCAGCCUCCCACGCGCGCGUUGCCUUCUUUGCGCUUGCGCCGCGGUGCCGUGGGUCCAGGCUGUCAGACACUCAACCAAUUCGCCCGGUAAUGGCGGAAUCGCCCCACGGACUCGGAGCUCCGUUGCCUGAGGCUGGCGACCCCAGCAUCGUGACCCGUGCUGCAUAAAGCCCUAAGCCGGCCACAACCUCCCUCUCCUCCCUUCCUCAAUUUCGCAAGCGCCUCCACCAACAGAGAGUUUCGCGAGCAGGGCUUUUUGAGCGGGUCGUUCGUGAUUGCCGUCGCCGUCGCGGGCGAUUCUCGGCCACGACCCCGGUGCCGAACCGGAUCCGUGUCGGGAGUCUACACCGAGUGGGCACGUAACCCUCCGUGGUGCCUGCGUGCCGAAUCGUCGACCGCGCGCCCCGUAGGAGUUCGCCGGAGAGGGCGGAAUACCGUCAAGCUGCCUCGCAUCGUGGUCAGCUCGCUCGUGCGCCCGAUUCUCGGUAUGGCGCCCCCUAUCCAAUUCACGAGUAGGUGGAUUUCAUUUUGCGCGAUUCCUCGGGGUGAUCUGCUCGUCGGGCUUGCGGUUAGCGCGACGCCGGUGAGGGAUCCGCCGCUGCCUUAGGUGCGCCGUCGUGCCUGUUGGCAGUGUGGGAAGAUGAUGCCGCGACCGCUGGAUCAGUAGCUGGCGGCUGGGAUUUGAUCUGGGUCAGAGAGACUAUGGACCGUAGAUCUGUCGGUGGGCGGCGUGGAUUAGACGGGCGAUACCUCUUGGCAACAUUGAAAUCUAUCCGUAGAUCCGUUGAUGGACGCUUGGGAUCUGGUGUAGGCGUGGCCAUCUCGGGAAGCCUCGGAUCGUGAUCCGGUGGCUGUGAUUCAGUACCGUUUCAAGGGGGGAGCGGUUUUAAUCUGAGUCGUUGAUGUCUAAUCGGACGGCUCCGGGCGGGAGAUACCCUUUCGCCUUGGCAUAUUUACUAAAGAGACCCUAGGCUUCUGAGAAAAUAACCCGCAGUCCUGUCUGCAGGACUCUGUGUCUUGGGACCUUUUUGCGCCGGGCCCCCUGUCUUUCUCCGAAAUAGUGGGCCCAGUCCAGUGAUCAUUUAAUUUGAAUAAAUGAAAUAGAAAUGGAUUUUUAAUAUGAAGAUAAUUACUAGAACUUAAUAAAUUCAUAGAAAAUUCAUACUAACUCCAAAUUAAUCCAUUCCAGUUCCUAAAAUUUUGUAAUUUUAUUCUCUACCACUUAGUGUCUCUGUUUUAUCAUGACAACAGUAAGAAAAUUUAUCCCACACUUAAUCCUAUUUUAAACACAUAAAACCUUUGAAAAUCCAUAACUUAAAUUCUAUAACUCCAAAAAUUAUGAUUCCUGUUCCUAGAAUUUUAUUUUAAUGUGUAGAUUAUUACUGUGUAUUUUGUAUAUAUGUUUGGUGUAAUGUUAAUUUCUCUAUAUGCACUGUGCUUGUUUGUAUUGUGGCGAGUAGAAGAGCCCGUGACUGAGGAUCCUGGUGAGCAGCAGGUUGAAGUAGCUGAGCAGGAGCUCAUUGAAGGCAAGUUGUGCCCUUGACCACUUUUUACCUAAUAAUGUUCUUUAAUGUCACUUAUUCAUGCAUAGGUUAAUUUUGAUGGGACCCAAUAGGUCACCCUAGAUUGUUUAUCUCAUUACCUUGUUUACCCCUGAAUCACUUGGGUAGUUUGCUAUUACUUUACAUGGUUUUGGGAUAAUCAUUUAUAUCUAUGUUCCAAUUAUUCUUGUUAUUCUAUUUAUGUUCAUGUCAAGUUCAUUAAUGUUAAUUGGAACAUAGAGCUUAACUUGAGAACCACGUGCCACCACAAGGGUUUAAUGGGACGCCCUUGGCUGACUAAUUAGGAAAGCUAGUGGAAGACUACCUUACCCGAAAGGGGCAAGGGCAGUAGGGGAGUGGUCAGUGUAGGGAGGUCCUUGGUUGAUUUUGCUGCGAUGGCGGUCAGAUAAGAACCCUGCAUUGGAGCUUCCUAUAAACUGUAGCGGGUUUUCGGAAGCUAGUGGAACUUUGUAAAGGCCUCGUAGUGUUGCCCUGCCGCGCUUCCUAGGUAGAGGUGUAUGGGAUUCGCGACCCCUUGGCAGAUGGGUAGCAUGACUUGUGGGUAAAGGGUACAACCUCUGUAGAGUGUAAAACUGGUAUACUAGCCGAGCUCACGGUCAUGAGCAGCUCAGGACUCUCUGAUGAUUAAAUUAUGGAACUUAAAUUCAAUUUUGUCAUUUGCAUAUGCAUGGGUUUAUUAUUAAUUUUGUUCUAUUAUUUAUUAAGGUUUCGUAUUUACUUACAUCUAGUAAUUGCUAAUAAAAUUUUGACCAACAUUAAAAGCAAUGCUCAGCUUUAACCAUUCUCUUUGAUAAGCCUUACACUCCAUGAGAUCCCACCUUUGGUGAGUUCAUGUCACAUUAUUCCCCAUGACUUGUUGAGCGAUGAACGUAUGUGAGCUCACUCUUGCUAUCUUACACCCCCCCACAGGAGAAGAGCAGGUGGUUCAGGAGGAGCCACAAGGCGAGGAGUAUGAUCUGAUCUAGGUGGCGUUUCUCAGUUGACAUUGGCACCGACGAUCCUUAGUUCGUUUUAUCUUUAUUACUUUAUUUUGUAAUAAGUCUUCCGCUAUGUAAUAAAUACUCUGAUGUUUUAUGACAUUUAUCUCUAUACACUCUGUUAUUAUAUAUGUUGUCUUCUUGGCGCAUGUAUGAGAUGCACCUGGCUUUGUUCCUUAAAGCCGGGUGUGACAGAAGUGGUAUCAGAGGAAAUUUUGACUGUAGGACGAGACCUAGAUAGAAAUGGACAAAACCCUCUCCUACUUACCUUACUCUGACUCAUUCUAUACUCAUCUCAUCUUGAUCUUGUCUCACCUUCUACUGUUCUACUCUGAUCAUUCUUACCUUUUCUGCUCUAAGACAAGAUGGAUUUCACACCUUGGAAUCCUACCACUAUGAUCUUUUAAGAGAUAGGGAACCCAGGACAAAAUUUAAAACAAUUUUCUUUAAAAAUGUUGUUUGAUUGUGCUGAUGCUAAAUGCCUGAUUUGCUUCUUUGAUUGAUUGAAUUAUUAUAGAUGGACAUCUUAGCAUGUACCAACAUAAGGUAUUGAAUUAGCUUUAGUAGGUGAAAUAUUAAUCUGCUUAGCUAAUAAAUCCCCCAAAGUAACAUGAUUUGUAAAUACCUGCCUUGUCUACUAUUUUCUUACCAUAUGUAUCUAACUCAGAUGGUCAAUACCAGGAGGGGUGGUGGAAUUGAUUUGCCUCCUAACCGACACACUCGAAGGAUAUAUAGACAACCUCAGCCACAGCCUGUAGAGAUGAAUCCUCCACCAGGCGGAGUUGACCCACUGGUUGCUGCUCAGAUGGCGGUGAUGCAGCAAAUGGCGGACACUAUGGCUGAUAUGCGUGCCCAGAUGCAGCAAGAACGCCAGGAGAUGCGUCAGGAAAGAGAAGAUAUACGUCAGGAGUUGCGCCAGGAGAGAGAGGAGAUACGCUAGGAGAGAAGGGCGCAACAACAGCAGCUACAACAACAACUUCAACAAUAGCAGCAACAGCAACAAGUACCACUGCCUCCUCCACCACCACCAGUUCCACCCCGAGAUAAGCACCGGGAAUUCAUGAGUCAUAAGCCACCUACAUUUGCAAGCUCACCUGAUCCACUGGACGCGGAUGAUUGGCUGAAGUCCGUUGAGAAGAUGCUGAAUAUUGCACAAUGCACUGACCGGGAGAAGGUUUUAUAUGCUUCUGGACGUCUGACAGGUCCUGCUGCUGACUGGUGGGAUUCAUAUACUGCUGCCCACGAUGCCGCUGAUACUAUCACUUGGGCAGAGUUUAGUACACAGUUCAGGAAUUAUCAUAUACCAGCUGGAUUGAUAAAGAUUAAGAAGAAUGAAUUUCUAUCGCUGAAGCAAGGAAGCAUGACAGUCAGCGAGUACAGAGACAAAUUCAUUCAGCUGUCGAGAUAUGCUCCGGAGGAAGUUGCUGAGGAUGAAAGAAAGCAGGAGCACUUUAUUGAAGGACUUAAUGGACCCCUACAGUAUGCACUGGUUGCUCACACUUUUCCAUCAUUUUAGAGGCUGCUGGAUAAGGCUCUUGCUAUUGAACACAAGCGUGUUCAGCUGGGUGAUUUGAAGAGAAAGGCAAUAUCUCAAGGACAAGGAAGCAGCAAUGUUCGUCCUCGCUACAGUUCACCCCAGGGAACACCAACUCGACCAGGAGGACCGCGCCCAGUUCAGCAAUCACCACUGAGGACUCCACCUCCUCGACAGGCUACCCCUACUGGCACCCCGACGAAGUUUUCAGGACAGAGUCCAGGCACUACCUGUUUCAAGUGUGGGAAGACUGGUCAUUAUGCAAAUGUCUGCCCACAGAGGAUUGCUGCUACUCCAGUUCAGAACAGGCAGCAAACUCUAGGAUCUGACAAGGGAUAUUCUAUUGCCAAGGUUAAUCAAGUCAGCGUUGAUGCUACUCCGGAUGGUGGGGACCUCGUACUUGGUAUGUUUUAUGUUAAUGCAAUUCCUGCAACCAUAUUAUUCGAUUCUGGUGCUACACAUUCAUUCAUGUCUGCUAGAUAUGCCAACACAAAUGAAUUACCACUGCUAAAUAUGAGAAAACCAAUGAUAGUAAUUACACCUAAAGGGCCUGUUGAGGCGAAUCAAAUGACACGUAGAUUGACAUUGACCAUUAUGGGUAGAGAAUUUGGAGCUACUGCUAUAAUAUUAGAGUCAAGCAGUAUAGAUCUGAUCCUUGGUAUGUCAUGGCUAAGAAAGGCAAAGGCCGUUAUAGCAUGUGGUAGAGGUACCGUAGAACUCACUACCACUAAGGGAGAAAGAUUUCAAGUUAAUAUUGCAGUAACCUCCUCACCCAUGCGUGCAAUGUUCUUUAUACCUGAGGAGUUUGUUGGUGACAACAUCCGGGUGGUUAGAGAUUUUCCGGAUGUCUUUCCAGAGGAGUUACCAGGGAUGCCACCUGAUAGAGAAGUUGAGUUUGUUAUUGAUCUCUUACCUGGAACCGCCCCUAUUUCUAAACGGCCAUAUAGGAUGUCCGUAGAGGAGUUGAAGGAACUUAAGAAGCAGUUAACUGAGUUACAAGAUGCUGGGUACAUUCGUCCGAGUUCCUCACCUUGGGGAGCACCGGUCUUGUUUGUACAGAAGAAGGAUGGAUCCCAGCGGAUGUGUGUGGAUUAUAGAUCUCUUAAUGAUGUUACGGUGAAGAACAAGUAUCCGUUGCCCCGUAUUGAGGAUUUAUUUGAUCAGAUGAGAGGUGCUAGAGUAUUCUCGAAGAUUGAUCUCCGAUCCGGUUACCAUCAGAUGAGGAUUAGACCAUCGGAUAUUCCCAAGACGGCUUUCUCAACUUGAUAUGGAUUAUAUGAGUUCACUGUUAUGUCGUUUGGAUUAACCAAUGCACCAGCUUAUUUUAUGAACUUGAUGAAUAAGGUGUUUAUGGAGUAUUUGGACAGAUUCGUCGUGGUAUUCAUCGACGAUAUUCUCAUUUAUUCUCAGAGUGAUAACGAUCAUGAGGAACAUCUGAGAUUGGUGCUACAGAAGCUACGAGAUAACCAGCUAUAUGCCAAGUUUAGCAAGUGCGAGUUUUGGAUUGGCGAGGUGCCAUUUCUUGGUCAUAUUAUUUCUAAUGGAGGAAUUUCAGUGGAUCCUGCUAAGGUUAAGGAGAUAAUGGAGUGGAGAGUACCCACUACAGUUACUGAGAUUCGGAGUUUCUUGGGACUUGCUGGAUAUUAUCGGAGAUUUAUUGAAGGAUUUUCUAAGAUUGCUAAGCCUAUGACUUCACUUUUGGAGAAAGGAAGAGAAUUUAAGUGAGAUGAGAAGUGCCAAGACAGCUUUGAUCAAUUGAAGAAAAGAUUGAUGUCGCCACCAGUGUUGGUUAUGCCAGACCUACAGAAAGGAUUUGAUAUCUAUUGCGAUGCAUGUGGCCAAGGCUUAGGAUGUGUGCUCAUGCAGGAAGGACAUGUGAUUGCCUAUGCGUCUCGUCAGUUGCGGAAACAUGAAUUGAACUACCCCACUCAUGACUUGGAAUUGGCAGCCGUUGUGCAUGCGCUAAAGAUUUGGAGACACUACAUCAUGGGAACUAAGUGCCAAGUGUACACGGAUCAUAAGAGUCUGAAGUAUAUAUUCACGCAGAAGGAUCUCAACCUUAGGCAACGCCGUUGGUUGGAGCUUAUUAAGGAUUAUGAUUUGGAGAUUCACUAUCACCCGGGCAAGGCAAAUUUGGUUGCAGAUGCCUUGAGUCGCAAGGAGCAUGUUCAUUCAGCUAUUGUUGCCCAGCUACCCGAUGAGAUUGUUGAGGAUUUCAGGAGACUUAACCUGGGGAUAGUUGCUCAUACUGAAGGAGUUACUAUUGAUGUGGAACCUACUCUGGAGCAAGAAAUCCGCAAAGGUCAACUUGACGAUGCUAAAAUAAAAGAGAUUAAGGAUCUGAUUACUGAAGGUCGAGUUCCGGAAUUUACGGAAGAUGAGCAAGGCACUGUAUGGUUCAAGAACAGGAUGUGUGUUCCUGAUAUUGAAAGCCUUUGAGAGACUAUUUUAAAGGAGGCCCAUGACUCGGAUUAUUCUAUUCAUCCUGGUAGUACCAAGAUGUACCAGGAUUUGAAGCGGAAGUAUUGGUGGUAUGGAUUGAAAAGAGAUGUAGCUGCACAUGUGGCUAUGUGCAAUGUAUGUCAAAGAGUUAAGGCUGAACACCAGAGGCCAGCUGGACUAUUGCAUCCACUGAAGAUACCCGAGUGGAAGUGGGAAGAGAUUGGUAUGGAUUUCAUUACUGGAUUGCCUCGCACCCAGAAAGGAUAUGAUGCUAUAUGGGUGAUUGUGGAUAGAUUGACUAAAGUGGCUCACUUUAUUCCUGUGAAGACUACUUAUAAAGGUUCUCAGCUAGCAGAGUUAUAUAUGGCUCGGAUUGUGUGUUUACAUGGAGUACCAAAGAAGAUCGUGUCUGAUCGAGGUUCACAGUUUACCUCAAGAUUUUGGAGAAGCUUUCAUGAGAAUAUGAGUACAAAGUUGAAUUUUAGUACGGCUUAUCACCCUCAGACUGAUGGACAGACUGAAAGAACUAAUCAUGUAUUGGAAGAUAUGUUGAGAGCAUGUGCCCUUCAGCAUGGUGGAAGUUGGGAUAAGAGUUUACCUUAUGCUGAGUUCUCUUAUAAUAAUAGCUAUCAGGCCAGUCUGAAGAUGUCACCAUUUGAAGCUUUAUAUGGGAGGAAGUGCAGGACUCCUUUGUAUUGGGAUCAGACUGGAGAAAGACAGUUCUUUGGGCCUGAACUGAUUCAAGAAGCAGAAGAGCAAGUCCGUAUAAUUCGAGAGAAUUUGAGGGUGGCUCAAACCAGGCAAAAGAGCUACGUUGAUAAUAGAAGAAGACCGCUGGAAUUUGAGGGAGGAGAUUAUGUGUACCUCAAGGUGUCACCACUUCGUGGAAUGAGGAGAUUCAAAGUUAAGGGCAAAUUGUCCCCUCGCUACAUUGGACCAUUCUUGAUUUUUAGGCGAGUUGGAGAGAUGGCAUACCAACUCGAGUUACCGGAUAGUCUAUCGGAUGUGCAUAAUGUGUUCCACGUAUCUCAACUGAAGAAGUGUCUCCGUGUUCCCGAGGAACAGUUACCAAUGGAAGAGCUCAGUGUUCAGGGUGAUUUGACUUACACGGAGUACCCUAUCAAGAUUUUGGAUACUUUGACUCGUGUUACAAGGAAUAAGGUGAUAAAGAUGUGUAAAGUGCAAUGGAGUCACCACGGAGAAGAUGAAGCAACGUGGGAAAGAGAAGAAGAGCUUCACAUAGAUUUUCCCCACCUUUUCCCUCGUUCCUCCUAAAUCUCGAGGACGAGAUUAUUUUUAAGGGGGGUAGGAUUUGUAACACCCACUUUGUAAGAAAAUUCUAAAAGAGAAAUUAUAUCACUCUACAUCUAUAUGUACUACCACUGUUUAUCAUUUUUCAUGUGGACACAUUACUUACACACAAAAAAAAAUAAUAAUAACAAAAGACACUCAAUUAAAUCAUGCAUCAUGCUAGAUUUUGUUUUGUUUGCAUUUUGUGACAACAUAUAAUAAUGUGAAAAAUGUUAAAUAUCCAAAUGGGAAAUUAAAUUCUAAAAGAAAUUCUAAAAUUUGGAAAGAAAGAAAGAAAAAUACUAUGCAAUACAAAAAUAAAACUUAUAAAUAGAUAAAUUUAUUCCACAAUGAUUUAUCCAAAUCAUAUACUCAGAAAAUUUGAGUACAAGUUCAUCACAAAUUUGAAAUUCAAACUUAGAUUCAAAAAUAAGAGAAAAGAGAAAGGAAAAUGAAAAUAUAAAAGAAAAAGGGUGCUGUGCUCAAUUGGGCCUAAACCAACCAAUUCGGCCCAAUACCAAAUUUCACCCUGCGCAGCCCAGCUUCUAUUCUUUGCGCCGACUGAUGAGGCCCACUGGCCAGUCACAAGCCCCUCGCGCGCACACUGGUUCGGAUCGCUGCUGGCGGGACCGCCCAGUCAGCCUCCCACGCGCGUGUUGCCUUCUUCGCGCUUGCGCCGCGGUGCUGUGGGUCCGGGCUGUCAGACACUCAACCAAUUCGCCCGGUAAUGGCGGAAUCGCCCCACGGACUCGGAGCUCCGUAGCCUAAGGCUGGCGACCCCAGCAUCGCGACCCGUGCUGCAUAAAGCCCUAAGCCGGCCGCAACCUCCCUCUCCUCCCUUCCUCAAUUUUGCAAGCGCCGCCACCAACAGAGAGUUUCGCGAGCAGGGCUUUUUGAGCGGGUCGUUCGUGAUUGCCGUCGCCGUCGCGGGCGAUUCUCGGCCACGACCCCGGUGCCGAACCGGAUCCGUGUCGGGAGUCUACACCGAGUGGGCACGUAACCCUCCGUGGUGCCUGCGUGCCGAAUCGUCGACCGCGCGCCCCGUAGGAGUUCGCCGGAGAGGGCGGAAUACCGUCAAGCCGCCUCGCGUCGUGGUCAGCUCGCUCGUGCGCCCGAUUCUCGGUAUGGCGCCCCCUAUCCAAUUCACGAGUAGGUGGAUUUCAUUUUGCGCGAUUCCUCGGGGUGAUCUGCUCGUCGGGCUUGCGCCGCCGUGCCUGUUGGCAGUGUGGGAAGAUGAUGCCGCGACCGCUGGAUCAGUAGCUGGCGGCUGGGAUUUGAUCUGGGUCAGAGAGACUAUGGACCGUAGAUCUGUCGGUGGGCGGCGUGGAUUAGACGGGCGAUACCUCUUGGCAACCUUAAAAUCUGUCCGUAGAUCCGUUGAUGGACGCUUGGGAUCUGGUGUAGGCGUGGCCAUCUUGGGAAGCCUCGGAUCGUGAUCCGGUGGCUGUGAUUCAAUACCGUUUCAAGGGGGGGAGCGGUUUUAAUCUGAGUCGUUGAUGUCUAAUCGGACGGCUCCGGGCGGGAGAUACCCUUUCGCCUUGGCAUAUUUACUAAAGAGACCCUAGGCUUCUAAGAAAAUAACCCGCAGUCCUGUCUGCAGGACUCUGUGUCUUGGGACCUUUUUGCGCCGGGCCCCCUGUCUUUCUCCGAAAUAGUGGGCCCAGUCCAGUGAUCAUUUAAUUUGAAUAAAUGAAAUAGAAAUGGAUUUUUAAUAUGAAGAUAAUUACUAGAACUUAAUAAAUUCAUAGAAAAUUCAUACUAACUCCAAAUUAAUCCAUUCUAGUUCCUAAAAUUUUGUAAUUUUAUUCUCUACAACUUAGUGUCUCUGUUUUAUCAUGACAGCAGUAAGAAAAUUUAUCCCACACUUAAUCCUAUUUUAAACACAUAAAACCUUUGAAAAUCCAUAACUUAAAUUCUAUAACUCCAAAAAUUAUGAUUCCUGUUCCUAGAAUUUUAUUUUAAUGUGUAGAUUAUUACUGUGUAUUUUGUAUAUAUGUUUGGUGUAAUGUUAAUUUCUCUAUAUGCACUGUGCUUGUUUGUAUUGUGGCGAGUAGAAGAGCCCGUGACUGAGGAUCCUGGUGAGCAGCAGGUUGAAGUAGCUGAGCAGGAGCUCAUUGAAGGCAAGUUGUGCCCUUGACCACUUUUUACCUAAUAAUGUUCUUUAAUGUCACUUAUUCAUGCAUAGGUUAAUUUUGAUGGGACCCAAUAGGUCACCCUAGAUUGUUUAUCUCAUUACCUUGUUUACCCCUGAAUCACUUGGGUAGUUUGCUAUUGCUUUACAUGGUUUUGGGAUAAUCAUUUAUAUCUAUGUUCCAAUUAUUCUUGUUAUUCUAUUUAUGUUCAUGUCAAGUUCAUUAAUGUUAAUUGGAACAUAGAGCUUAACUUGAGAACCACGUGCCACCACAAGGGUUUAAUGGGACGCCCUUGGCUGACUAAUUAGGAAAGCUAGUGGAAGACUACCUUACCCGAAAGGGGCAAGGGCAGUAGGGGAGUGGUCAGUGUAGGGAGGUCCUUGGUUGAUUUUGCUGCGAUGGCGGUCAGACAAGAACCCUGCAUUGGAGCUUCCUAUAAACUGUAGCGGGUUUUCGGAAGCUAGUGGAACUUUGUAAAGGCCUCGUAGUGUUGCCCUGCCGCGCUUCCUAGGUAGAGGUGUAUGGGAUUCGCGACCCCUUGGCAGAUGGGUAGCAUGACUUGUGGGUAAAGGGUACAACCUCUGCAGAGUGUAAAACUGGUAUACUAGCCGAGCUCACGGUCAUGAGCAGCUCAGGACUCUCUGAUGAUUAAAUUAUGGAACUUAAAUUCAAUUUUGUCAUUUGCAUAUGCAUGGGUUUAUUAUUAAUUUUGUUCUAUUAUUUAUUAAGGUUUGGUAUUUACUUACAUCUAGUAAUUGCUAAUAAAAUUUUGACCAACAUUAAAAGCAAUGCUCAGCUUUAACCAUUCUCUUUGAUAAGCCUUGCACUCCAUGAGCUCCCACCUUUGGUGAGUUCAUGUCACAUUAUUCCCCAUGACUUGUUGAGCGAUGAACGUAUGUGAGCUCACUCUUGCUGUCUUACACCCCCCACAGGAGAAGAGCAGGUGGUUCAGGAGGAGCCACAAGGCGAGGAGUAUGAUCUGAUCUAGGUGGCGUUUCUCAGUUGACAUUGGCGCCGACGAUCCUUAGUUCGUUUUAUCUUUAUUACUUUAUUUUGUAAUAAGUCUUCCGCUAUGUAAUAAAUACUCUGAUGUUUUAUGACAUUUAUCUCUAUACACUCUGUUAUUAUAUAUGUUGUCUUCUUGGCGCAUGUAUGAGAUGCACCUGGCUUUGUUCCUUAAAGCUGGGUGUGACAGUUCCCAACCGCCCCGUGCCAGGCGCUGCUGCUGUGCACGCCGCACGGCAGCACACGACUGCACAGACGUCCCGGACUCCAUCGAGGGCGACUCCGGGAGCAUUGUCAGCAGCCAGGGAGUUGUUGCGACACCCUCCAAGCUCCACGGCCUCACUAGGGGCCAUGAAGCAAUGGCGGGACGACGUCGACCGACUACUCUGUAUGGCGCAUUCUACCUCGACCAGGUCAAGGACACGGUCAUCCCGGCGCGAAUACGAGGCAUCGGCGUCUGUGCGCUCGCCCUCAGUAAGGGGAGCUCAGACCAACGACCUCCGAGCAGAACUCGACCGCAGGCGUGCGGGAGAGGAUGCCCGAGUCUCCUUGGAAAGGGUGCGCGAGUGCCGCCAAAACAUCGGUGGUCGCAACCUCGAUCAAGACUUCGCUGCGGUUGCACCACAGACACCAAUGGGUAUCCGGUCUCAAACGGGUGUCCCCUUGGCCGGUGUGGGCUGCGUCGCUCUCGCAGAUCAUCUCCGCGCGGAGUCAUGGCCAUCCAAGUUCUGGCCGCACCUGCUGGAAAAGUACGAUGGAACAUCGUACCCGUCGAAGUUCUUGCAGGUGUACGUCACCGCCAUCACGGCAGCAGGUGGAAACACCGCUGUGAUGGCAACAUAUUUUCUUGUCGCCUUGUCUGGACCAGCCCGGACUUGGCUCAUGAACCUCGCCCCAGGGUCAGUCUACUCCUGGAAAGAGCUCUACGCGUGGUUCGUUGCGAACCUCGCCAGUGCUUACCAGCAGCACGGUGUGGAGGCCCACCUCCAUGCGGUGAGGUAGGAGCCCGGGGAGACUCUCCAGAAAUUCAUCUCCCGCUUCACCAAGGUGCGAGGUACCAUACCUCGCAUUUCUGAUGCUUCCAUCAUCACGACCUUCCGACAGGGAGUACGUGAUGAGAAAAUGCUGGAGAAGUUGGCCACACAUGACGUGGAAACUGUCCCCACACUCUUCGCUCUGGCUGAUAAGUGCGCCAGAGCCACCGAGGGCCGUGCAUGGCACUCGGCCCCACAAACCGGAGCUGCCCAGUCGGGUGGCACGGGUGCCGUCCCCCGGGACGGAAAGAAGAAAAAGAAGAAGGACCGCGAAUACCAGAAGUCGCGGUCCACCGCUCUGGUUGUCGCAGCCACGACCGGAGGCCUGGGCGACCGCAACAAACAUCCACGACCGCAGAAGGGUAACAGCAGCUCAUGCCCUGUACACCCCAACAGUCGCCACAGCUCUAUGGAGUGUCGCGAGAUCAUUGACCUCGCGAAGCGUGUUAGUGAGCGGCGCGAGCAGUCUUCCAAAGACGGCUCCCCACCUCGUCGCUGACCUGGCAAAGAAAAGGUGGACGACGGCGAGGUGGCCACGACUGAACGGGACCUCGGGUAUCAGUCACCCGAAGGGGACCUGAAGGAUGUCUUCGCUGGAGGCUCCUACUCUGGUGGAGACAACUAGACGGACCCCAGAGGGACCCCGUGUUCCCCGGUCUAUGGAGCUGAAGCUUGCCUUCCUCCGAAAACCCUUCCGGACUCCCCAUAGGUCCAGGCUUCUGACAGGUACAUACAGGAACGACCACAACCAAAGGCGAGGGCUCCCAUGUCAAAUGCAGAUGGGGACCCAGGGUCGGGACUUAGCCCUACGACAAGUACCAAACCAAGAAGGGCUCCGCAACUCUCCCCCAGCUGGGAAGGACCCUUCAAGGUAAUGGGAAUGCACCGACCCGAGGGCAACCAUCUAGCUACGACUAAAGGAGUCCCUCACCCUGAUGCUGAAACAUCUCUGUAAGUUCUAUCCAUAGAGCAAGUCUGAGGAGUCGAUUUAGUUUCCCUUUUGUAACCAGGUAGCACAUACGUGUACGCCAACCUAGUGGGGUCCGUCCCCAUAAACCCAGCCUGUUGGUCUGCACCCACGCAUGAUGAGUUAUAAAGAAAACUACCCCCUCGGUUGAGCCCCUAUGAUAGUUCCAUCUCGCUGCUCCAUGGUCUUACCUUGCAGUUUUUUAGAUAAUACUUUUUAUCUAACCCACCCGUACGGUUCCCAUAUGUACUGACAUGACAACAUCCAAAUUGAGCAGCCAGGCUUGCAGUUUAGGGCCCCCGAUACGAAAGUUGGGAGGUCCGACAGCCUGGGAGCCGGCUCCAGAGAACGAAACCCCAUUCCAUGGGAUGGUCCGGAGCAUGUGUGGCCGCUUAGCCUGGUCCCGUACCCGAAAGCCUGCACACUCCACCACUCCGUGACGGGUACCUAGUAUUUAGGGCUAUAAGUCCUGUGGGUCCGACAACCUCGGGACCGGAACUAGAGAAUGAACAUUAGUCUUUUGGGGUGGUCCGGAGCCCGUGUAGCCGCUCAGCCUGGUCCCGUACCAUGGGCCUGCACGCUCCACCGCCCUGCGACAAGUGUCCUAGUAUCUAGAGUCGCGAGCCAAGGGGGUCCGGACACGCAACUUGGCCACCCGGGCUGAAACCUGUGAGUCUCGAACAUGUAUCAAAGGAUGGCUAAUGUCAGAUAGGGGACCCUAUGGGUGUACUACUAACGCUCCUUAGCUGAAGCUGUGAACAGAUCCAGACCUCGGUGAGGCUGCUUCCCGAGAACUAUUGACAACCUUUUCAGAUACGCUGGUAUCCAACCUCAACAAAUCAAGCCUGCAUCCCAGGCGGUGGGGGGGGCAGGUACCAGGGAGGAGUCAACAAUAUCGCACACAACAAAAAAAAGUUGAAAAUAGAUAAGUGCUAAUACUGCUUAACAAAUAGUACUCUUGAGUACCUUACAAAAAGCGAAAGUAUUACAUCUGUUUUUCAAGUGGAGCCCUAGUUCCAUCUCUACUCUGCAGGUAUGAACUACCUCCACACCAGUAGGGCCGCGGGAUAGCUAGCUCCGAGCGGCUCGCCAGCGGAGGCGACCACCUCUGCACCGACGACUCGCCAGCAAUGGCGAUCACCUCAGCACAUGCGCCAUUACGAAAAGGUCCUCGCCCCCGUCUUCCUACGGGGGGGCAACAAUGAGGCCAUUAAAGCUAAAGAGUCGGAAGGCUCGGUGGCAGGUGGCGCUGAUGGUCUCGCCAGCGGAGGCAACCACCUCUGCAACGGGCAGCCUCACCAGCGGCGGCGACCACCUCAGCACCAACGACAGCGGCCACCUCUGCACCGGUGGGCGGCGACUGCCUCAGCACACACGAAGAGGUCCUCGCUCCUGUCCUCACUGCGGGAGUGAGGACAAGACCAUCCAAGAACACGGCCGCCGCCCUUGCGGCGUACGACGUCUUGUACGGCCCCCCGGUGCGGCCGUCGGCACAGGAGAAGCCGUGGAUGUGGCGGACCUACGCACGGCGCGACCGUCGCCCGUGCGGUGGACAGGCAGCCACGCCCCAACCAAACGACAGGAGGCAGCAUCGGAGGCGGCACCAAGGCCAUCCAAGCCGGGGAACCGGGCACGCGGCGGACGGUGGCGCCUGCAGUCGGCCGGCCUCGCGUACCCGAAGUUCACCUCCUCUGCAAGGCUGGUGAACGCCCUUCUCCCCCAAAUAUUGGAGGAAGAAGCGGGCCGCCAUCCCAUGCGGAAGGCGGGACCCCAACUCGUCUCGCCCUCCUCCCCAGCGCGGAUGAUGAACAUCCUUGAAGCUGAGGGUAGGGGGAGGCCACAGCCCAGCUCUCUUCUCUCCACCACAAGGCUGUUGGUCAUCCCUCUAGAUGACCACUGGCGGGAGAUUGCAGCCGGGCUGCAUGAUGAAAAUCCUUGAAGCCGAGCGAUGGAGGAAGAGCGCCAACCCCUAUAGGGUUGCGCUCCUCUAACAGCAGCAAGAAGAAGACAAGAUCGACAGCACCACCACGAGCGCGAGCUCUCCGGUGGUGAGAUCGCCGGAGGGGGCGGCCCUGACACGGAUCCCUCCAGAGAACACCGGCGCACCCCAUCUGGAGGCCCGGAAGGCAGAAGGGCGCGAUGAAUGCAAGAGGAGCAAGGCAUGGCUACUGGCCGGGAGAUCGAUCCCUUUUUAAAGGCAGAUCUUCCCACUCGCGCCCCGAAGCGUCACGGGCAAGGUCUCCCCCUAUGUGCACCAGGGUUCCCACCCUAUGACACGGGGGCCAAGCCCCACAUGUCAUACUGACUGACCCAAAUAACGAAGAAGGCGAACCACCACACAAGGAGCAUACAACUGCCCCGCGGUUAUGCGCCCCUUCAUUUUCGGAGCAACCAGUGGUCAGGAAGGCGAACCGCUGCACAAGGAGCAUGCACCCGCCCCACGGUCACGCGCCCCUUCGUUUUCGCCGAAACCAGCAGUCAGGAAGGCGAACCGCAACGAAGGAAGCGUACAACCUCCCCGUAGUUGUGCGCCCCCUCAGCUUCGCUGCAACUGGCGGUCCGACAUGGGGGCCCAGGUCCAGAUGUCAUGCAGCCGGCGCGCCAGUUACCGGGUGCGGAAAAAUCGCACCGCCACUCUCGCCAAUGCCACGUCUUCUCGGGGCCGACGCGGAAGACUGAAAAGAUAAGUUUCCAAAACUAGUGCAGCGACUCGAGGCAUCCCGUGCGUGGCCCAACAGUGGCUUUAAGUACGAAGGUCGCGGGCCAUUCAGUCGUGGGAAUAGGUGUAGCAGUCGACAUGACCAUAGGCGGGCCGACAGUAAUUGCGUCAACAGGCGCGCAGGAGCAGCAGGCCAACCGCUAAUCAGACUAUGGCCCCACCUGCAGGCUCGCAUCUUCCCCUGAGGCGGGCCUAGGGGCCACUGUCGGUACCCUGAAUCAGGGGUACCCUCUUCUACAGCAUGAAGACGAUGUACACGUACGACGCCUCUAGACCACACGGAGAACGGCACCCGACCCCACCACAUGGGCAGGUCUAAGGGCACCAUGUGGCAAGGAAAGAUAAUACAUCCCAGGAUGCAUCAUUGGGUCCGGGCCUCCAUAAAGGGACACCGGACCCCUGUACGUACAAGUCCGGAGCUCCCAAGAAGGCAUGUCAGGUCCCUCGGGUAGGCCUCGGGUCCCUCCGAGUAAGGUCCGGGCCUUGGCAAGGUCCCGGGAUGGGGAGGACCUCGACAUGAGUAAGGGUCCGGUUCUGGCACGUGUCCAGGCCUUGCCCUACGUUCCCCACUCAGGUCGAGACCCGCUGCUACCGCGUGGCUUGUGGCCCAUGACAUAAGCCAACGGGCCGAGCCUGACGAAAAGCCCCUAAAGCCGCACAACCUCUGCAUUUAUUGCGGAGAGGACACGCCGCCUGCCACCAUGCUGACGGAUGACAUGCCCUCUCAGCAUUUAAUGUGUCCUGUCCAAUCCGCUAGUAGACGGCGUCAGGGUCAUCCAGCAGACGAUGCGCCUGUCCAGUCUGUUGACGAACAGUGCGCCCAUGCCGUGCGGCGUACUGUGCUCACCUGUCACACCCGGAUUUUAGGGGUCCAAAACCCGGGCGCGAACAUAAUCACCAGGUGUGCUGGGACCAAGUCUCACACAUAUGAUGAAUCAUGGCACAGGAUCAAAUGUCACAUCUUUACUAUAUAAUAGGAGUUCUAUACAAAAUAAAUAAAUAAUUACAUUAUAAGGAGACAACGGUCCAGCAACCCAAAGUUGACUGGGAGACGACGACCUAGACCUCCCACGAAGACAUCGCAGCAUCCUCCAUGCGCCUCAUCCUGCGGUACCUGUUCUUGACCUGUGGGGGGGGGUGUGAGACAGCAAGAGUGAGCUCACAUACGUUCAUCGCUCAACAAGUUGUGGGGAAUAAUGUGCAUGAACUCACCAAAGGUGGGAGCUCACGUGAAGUGUAAGGCUUACCAAAGAGGAUGGUUAGAGCUGAGCAUUGCUUUUAAAGUUGGUCAAAAUUUUAUUGGCAAUUACUAAGUAUAAGUAAAUACCAACCCAAUUAAGUAGUAGAACAAAAGUAACAACAUCACCUGCGAUGCAAUGCAUAUGACAAAUUGAAUUUAGUUCCAUAAAUUAAUCAUCAGAGAGUCCUGAGCUGCUCAUGACCGUGAGCUCGGCUAGUAUACCAGUUUUACACUCUGCAGAGGUUGUACCCUUUACCCACAAGUCAUGUUACCCAUCUGCCAAGGGAUCGCGACUUCCCAUACACCUCUACCGAGGAGGCGAGGCAGGGUAACACUACGAGGCCUUUACAAAGUUCCACUAGCUUCAGAAAACCCGCUACAGUUUAUAGGAAGCUCCAAUGUAGGGUUCUUGCCUGACCGCCAUCGCAGCAAAAUCAACCAAGGACCUCCCUACACUGACCACUCCCCUACUGCCAUUGCCCCUUUCGGGUAAGGUAGUCCUCCACUAGCUUUCCUAAUUAAUCAGCCAAGGGCGUCCAUAAACCCUUGUGGUGGCACGUGUUUCUCAAGUUAAGCUCUAUGUUCCAAUUAACAUUAAUGAUCUUGACAUGAACAUAAAUAGAAUAACAAAAUAACUGGAACAUAGAUAUGAUAAAUAAUUAUCCCAAAUCCAUGUAAAGCAAUAGCAAACUACCCAAGUGAUUCAGGGGUAAACAAGGUAAUGAGAUAAACAAUCUAGGGUAACCUAUUGGGUCCCAUCAAAAUUAACCUAUGCAUGAAUAAAUGAUAUUAAAGAACAUUAAUGGGUAAAAAGUGGUCAAGGGCACAACUUGCCUGACACUUGAGAUCAGGUACCAACUUGCUCUUCAGAUGACACGUGUCCUCACUGCUAAACGUAGCAAUACAGACAAACACGGUAUAGGCAAAAUGAACAUCACACCAAACAUAAGAUCAAACUGCAUAAUAAUAUUCUACGCUGCUUAACAAGAUUGUAGGAACAAGAAACAAUAAAUUCGGAGCUACGGUUGUUAAAUUAUGAAUUUCUGAAAUUAUUAAGCACUUAGAAUGGAUUAAUUCAAAUGAACAAUUUUAAUGUAAGUUUCAUGGUUAUACAGUGUUACUAGGUGGUAGACAAUAUUAAAACAAAAUUAUAGAAACUGGAAUGGAUCAAUUCAGAGUUAGAAUGAAUCAAAUAUGGAUUAAACAAGUUUAUGGAUUUAUUUUUAAACUAAAAAUCCUCUUUCUGAAUUGUUUUAUCCCAUUUAUUCUCUGAUUGGACUGGGGACACUAUUUUGCGAGAGACUAGGGGUUGACGUAUAAAAUCCCAUAGACUUAGUCCAACCCCGCAGUGGACCGCUGGUUGAUUUAUAUUAACGCGAGGGACUCUUUUGAGAAGUUGCCACGCGAAGGGGUAUGCAAGGAUCACGGCCGUUGGAUCGGCCAUAAAUGGCUCGGAUUAAAUUUGUCUUUAAUCCAAAACGGUAUUCAAUCAUCACCGUUAGAUUUGCUAUCGACCGUCCAGAUCUAAAAUAACUGAGCCAAAUCCACCGCGUACACUACCCGAUCUACGGCGGAGGUGAGCCCAAACUGAAAGGAUAUGCGUGCACAGAUCUGGGCUGUCCAUCACAGAUCGGACGGCCACGAGCUUCUCUCCCUUACCUCACUCACGGUCGGCCAAUCCCAGGUAGCGGCGGCGUUCUGCCCACAAACCGCGGCGGCGGCCAUGGCCGGCACAAGCCCGAGCAACGUCCGCGCACGAGACUUGAAUUGAACUGGUGCAUCAAAGUAAGGAGGGCAACGGGAACUUCAUCGACGAUUUCUUACCCAGGGCAGACAUGGGAAUAUCCUAGCCACGGCGGGGACGGAUACUGCCCAUCCAACGAUCAAUCCACUGGUGAUGAGGUCGACAUUGCCCAUAUCGAUGCCGGUGAUGGACUCCAUACCUCCUGGCGAUUACCCGCGGCGAGGUCGAGUACACCGAACGUCGGCGGGGGCAAAGAACCAUUGCGGCUACACCUUUUUUUCCUCUCUCUCCCUUCUCGGUUCGCUCUCCCGCGGACAUGGUGGCGCUGCUGCGAGGCGAAAGGACCUGCGGCACAAGGUAGAGGGCGAGAGGGGGGGUCGGUCCUCUUAAUACCCUACAGCGAGGGGAUUCCGGCCUGGUGGUUGGAACGGCCAGCGGGAUCCACCCGAUCCCGGCGGCGGACAUCGCGGCGUACAGAGUCCGAGCGCGGGAUCUGUGAGGUUGAGGAUUGUGCUGACAACUGGGGCCCACCCAACAGAGACACGAAGUGUGAAAUGCGGGCGUAGAGUGCGGAUGGAUGGCCGACCGAGCGGCUGAGGAUGCGGGUCCACAUGUCGGCGCAGUGGGGAGGAUUGGCUGGGCUGGCAACGCGAGUGAGAUGGGCCGAGGAGGGUAGAUUCGGCCCACGAGGCUGAUCGGUUUGAUCUUUUCUGUUUUUUUAUUUCAGAGUUCCUUCUCCAAAUUUAAUUCAAAUUCAAAAUUCCUAUUUCAAAUCUCCCAAGUGUCAGAAUUAAUACUAAUAUAAAUAAGAACUCUACUAUUUUCAACAUUAUUAUUUAUUAUUUUCCUUAUUAUUUAUUUAUGGGAGGGAUAAAUGGUUGCAUUAAAAUUCCCUCACUCAUUUUCUUAAUUCCUUUUCUAUUUUUUUAAACUUAAACUUGUCUCAUACAUUUUGAUGCAACAUAUAAGAAAACUUUAGUAUGAUAUGCCUAUUUCUAUAUUUAUUUAUUUGUUAUUUGUACUGCUUUAUUUCUCUUAUGUGAGUAUGCACAAAGAAAAGAAAAAAACACAUAAUUCCCAAAACACUUUUAUGUAAAUCCAUGUAUUUAUUAUUAUUAUUAUUUUACCUUAUACUAAUUUUAGGGCUUUACAAAUCCUACCCCCUUAACAGAAAUCUCGUCCUCGAGAUUUGUAAGAAAAGGGUUACAAUAGGUUUGGUCUAGAAUUUUAGUUUCUCAUUUGGUUUUGGGAAUCAAAGUUUUGUUCAAGUUUUUUUUACAUAACAGUUAGUAGAUGAUUUGGAAAAUAUGAGUAUUGUAUGUCUAGCCAUUUAUUAGGUCAGAUGAGGUACGAUUAUGGCCAGUGGAGGUUGUGGUAAGGGUAUGAUAAGGAGAGACUUCAUCCUGAACUCUGGAUCUUGAUUCCUCUGGCGAUCCAACUUGAUCUUUGAAGACUUGAGUUGAUGCUUAUCCUCCUUUGAUGUGGUUGGUCUUCUUUGGCCUUUAUUCUUGUUGUCAUCCGAGUUAAGGACAUAUGGCUAAGGAUAUAUAAUUAGGAUAGCCGGGGUACACGAGGUAGGUAGGUUUGAACAAAGUUUUACUUUGCUUUUGUGAUAUCUGGAUUAGACAACCUAUGAUGUAGGUUAGGUUGUUGUUUACGGACGAGUUAGUCCAAGGUAUUAAUUUAGGGCAAGAUGAAUCCAUAAGGAUAAGGUAGAAUCUUUUGAGGUCAGUUAGAUUUAUUAGGGUGACAUAAGAUCUUUUCAAGAUAAAAUGAGUCUACUGAGGUAAUAGAGUAUAUUUUAAGAUAAGAUGGAUCUAUUAAGCUAGAUAUAUUUUAAUUAGGAUAAGUUAGGAUCUUUUGAGAUAAGAUGGAUCUAUGAGUGUAGGAUAGAAUCUUUUAAGAUGAGAUGGAUAUUGUUAGGUUAGAUACUUUAAUGAGGGCUAAUCUAGUUUGUCUAGUUAUUUUAUAAGCAUUUUUUUCCUAUAUGUAUAUGCAGAUGUAAUUGUGGACAUUACUCCACAACUAAUCACACUCAAUCAAAGAUCCAAAUCAGACAAGUAUCAUAAGAACAAACAUUCAAGCACAUAGAUAUGUAUAAAAAUAUUUUUGUUUUGUUCCUAAGAUUAGGUCUCAUAUUCCUAAAGGUCACUUUAGGCACAUGAUUUCAAAAUGUGAAAUCCACAUUUGUCGUUAGAAUGAAAAGGUAAGAAUAAUCAGAGUAAAGCGGAAAUAGAUGAGAAAAGAUUAAGAAGAGUUUAGAAAGGAUCAGAGUGGCAAAGGUAAGUAGAUAAUGGUUGUCCAGUUCUAUCUAGGUUUCGUCCUACAGUCAACAUUCCUCUGAUACCACUUCUGUCACACCCAGAUUUUAGGGGUCCAAAACCCGGGCGCGAACAUAAUCACCAGGUGUGCUGGGACCAAGUCUCACACAUAUGAUGAAUCAUGGCACAGGAUCGAAUGUCACAUCUUUACUAUAUAAUAGGAGUUCUAUACAAAAUAAAUAAAUAAUUACAUUAUAAGGAGACAACGGUCCAGCAACCCAAAGUUGACUGGGAGACGACGACCUAGACCUCUCACGAAGACAUCAUAGCAUCCUCCAUGCGCCUCAUCCUGCGGUACCUGUUCUUGACCUGUGUGGGGGGGGUGUGAGACAGCAAGAGUGAGCUCACAUACGUUCAUCGCUCAACAAGUUGUGGGGAAUAAUGUGCAUGAACUCACCAAAGGUGGGAGCUCACGUGAAGUGUAAGGCUUACCAAAGAGGAUGGUUAGAGCUGAGCAUUGCUUUUAAAGUUGGUCAAAAUUUUAUUAGCAAUUACUAAGUAUAAGUAAAUACCAACCCAAUUAAGCAGUAGAACAAAAGUAACAACAUCACCUGCGAUGCAAUGCAUAUGACAAAUUGAAUUUAGUUCCAUAAAUUAAUCAUCAGAGAGUCCUGAGCUGCUCAUGAUCGUGAGCUCGGCUAAUAUACCAGUUUUACACUCUGCAGAGGUUGUACCCUUUACCCACAAGUCAUGUUACCCAUCUACCAAGGGAUCGCGACUUCCCAUACACCUCUACCGAGGAGGCGAGGCAGGGUAACACUACGAGGCCUUUACAAAGUUCCACUAGCUUCAGAAAACCCGCUACAGUUUAUAGGAAGCUCCAAUGCAGGGUUCUUGCCUGACCGCCAUCGCAGCAAAAUCAACCAAGGACCUCGCUACACUGAACACUCCCCUACUGCCCUUGCCCCUUUCGGGUAAGGUAGUCCUCCACUAGCUUUCCUAAUUAAUCAGCCAAGGGCGUCCAUAAACCCUUGUGGUGGCACGUGUUUCUCAAGUUAAGCUCUAUGUUCCAAUUAACAUUAAUGAUCUUGACAUGAACAUAAAUAGAAUAACAAAAUAACUGGAACAUAGAUAUGAUAAAUAAUUAUCCCAAAUCCAUGUAAAGCAAUAGCAAACUACCCAAGUGAUUCAGGGGUAAACAAGGUAAUGAGAUAAACAAUCUAGGGUAACCUAUUGGGUCCCAUCAAAAUUAACCUAUGCAUAAAUAAAUGAUAUUAAAGAACAUUAUUGGGUAAAAAGUGGUCAAGGGCACAACUUGCCUGGCACUUGAGAUCAGGUACCAACUUGCUCUUCAGAUGACACGUGUCCUCACUGCUAAACGUAGCAAUACAGACAAACACGGUAUAGGCAAAAUGAACAUCACACCAAACAUAAGAUCAAACUGCAUAAUAAUAUUCUACGCUGCUUAACAAGAUUGUAGGAACAAGAAACACUAAAUUCGGAGCUACGGUUGUUAAAUUAUGAAUUUCUGAAAUUAUUAAGCACUUAGAAUGGAUUAAUUCAAAUGAACAAUUUUAAUGUAAGUUUCAUGGUUAUACAGUGUUACUAGGUGGUAGACAAUAUUAAAACAAAAUUAUAGAAACUGGAAUGGAUCAAUUCAGAGUUAGAAUGAAUCAAAUAUGGAUUAAACAAGUUUAUGGAUUUAUAUUAAACUAAAAAUCCUCUUUCUAAAUUGUUUUAUCCCAUUUAUUCUCUGAUUGGACUGGGGACACUAUUUUGCGAGAGACUAGGGGUUGACGUAUAAAAUCCCAUAGACUCAGUCCAACCCCGCAGUGGACCACGGGUUGAUUUAUAUUAACGCGAGGAACUCUUUGGAGAAGUUGCCACGCGAAGGGGUAUGCAAGGAUCACGGCCGUUGGAUCGGCCAUAAAUGGCUCGGAUUAAAUUUGUCUUUAAUCCGAAACGGUAUUCAAUCAUCACCGUUAGAUUCGCUAUCGACCGCCCAGAUCUAAAAUACCUGAGCCAAAUCCACCGCGUACACUACCCGAUCUACGGCGGAGGUGAGCCCAAACUGAAAGGAUAUGCGUUCACAGAUCUGGGCUGUCCAUCAUAGAUCGGACGACCACGAGCUUCUCUCCCUUACCUCACUCACAUCCGGCCAAUCCCAGGUAGCGGCGGCGUUCUGCCCACAGACCGCGACGGCGGCCAUGGUCGGCACAAGCCCGAGCAACGUCCGCGCACGAGACUUGAAUUGAACUGGUGCAUCACAGUAAGGAGGGCAACGGGAACUUCAUCAACGAUUUCUUACCUAGGGCAGACAUGGGAAUAUCCUAGCCACGGCGGGGACGGAUACUGCCUAUCCAACGAUCAAUCCACUGGUGAUGAGGUCGACAUUGCCCAUAUCGAUGCCGGUGAUGGACUCCAUACCUCCUGGCGAUUACCCGCGGCGAGGUCGAGUACACCGAACGUCGACGGGGGCAAAGAACCAUUGCAGCUACACCUUUUUUCCCUCUCUCUCCCUUCUCGGUUCGCUCUCCCGUGGACAUGGUGGCGCUGCUGCGAGGCGAAAGGACCUGCGGCACAAGGUAGAGGGCGAGAGGGGGGGGGGGGUCGGUCCUCUUAAUACCCUACAGCGAGGGGAUUCCGGCCUGGUGGUUGAACGGCCAGCGGGAUCCGCCCGAUCCCGACGGCGGACAUCGCGGCGUACAGAGUCCGAGCGCGGCAUCCGUGAGGUUGAGGAUUGUGCUGACAACUGGGGCCCACCCAAAAGAGACACGAAGUGUGAAAUGCGGGCGUAGAGUGCGGAUGGAUGGCCGGCCGAGCGGCUGAGGAUGCGGGUCCACAUGUCGGCGCAGUGGGGAGGAUUGGCUGGGCUGGCAACGCGAGUGAGAUGGGCCGAGGAGGGUAGAUUUGGCCCACGAGGCUGAUAGGUUUGAUCUUUUCUGUUUUUUUUCAGAGUUCCUUCUCCAAAUUUAAUUCAAAUUCAAAAUUCUUAUUUCAAAUCUCCCAAGUGUCAGAAUUAUUACUAAUAUAAAUAAGAACUCUACUAUUUUCAACAUUAUUAUUUAUUAUUUUCCUUAUUAUUUAUUUAUGGGAGGAAUAAAUGGUUGCAUUAAAAUUCCCUCACUCAUUUUCUUAAUUCCUUUUCUAUUUUUUUAAUCCUAUUUUAUUUUUAAACUUAAACUUGUCUCAUACAUUUUGAUGCAACAUAUAAGAAAACUUUAGUAUGAUAUGCCUAUUUCUAUAUUUAUUUAUUUGUUAUUUGUACUGCUUUAUUUCUCUUAAGUGAGUAUGCACAAAGAAAAGAAAAAAACACAUAAUUCCCAAAACACUUUUAUGUAAAUCCAUGUAUUUAUUAUUAUUAUUAUUUUACCUUAUACUAAUUUUAGGGCUUUACAUCACCACCCCUUCUACAAGAAGUUUCCCCUGCACGCCGAGGAUACGCAGAUCUCGGAUGUCAGGGCACAAGAAGAUUGCCCCAGCAGCGAACAUUUGUAGCUCCAAGCGCUAUAUUCAUUAUGUCUCUGGGCCCACAUAUCGGGGUUCAGUACCUUUGUGCAUGCCCCCUUCAGCUAUAAAAGGGGAGGCAUGCGGCGUUACAAGACAGAUCCAAUCUUAGGCUCACUCAGACACUCACAAGUUCAUACAAGCACUCAAGCAAUACAUCACACAGUGGAGUAGGGUGUUACGCUCUGACGGCCCGAACCACUCUAAAUCCUUGUGUGUUCUUAUGUUGUUCCCAUUUUCUGACUAACAAGCAAAACGCCUAGGCCCCUCCUCAUCUUAGGAUUUAGGACGGGUGCACUCCGCCACCCGGCCGGAGAUUUCCUCUCCGACAGUUAUAAAAUCACAACUUUUACAUAUAACCGGAUGAAUAUAAAGUUUAUAUAAAAAUUGUAGAGCUUGAAGAGAUCUAUAACUUUAUAGUACAUCAUAUUUUUGUUGAACAUAUCUUAAGGUCGAAAUCAUUGAAAUAAUAUCCAAAUUUAUAUCAAAUUAAUAGACUUUAUCAUUUUCAUAUGGGGACUUAAGGUUAUCUUCAUGUGGGGACUAAAAGUUAUCUUCUUAUAGACUAUUUAUUAGUCUUAGUAACUUAUUUGCCAUUUUUGGUGAUUUUCUAUAGAAAGAAAUUAAUAUUACACAAAUAGCCUAAAUAAUUCAUGAAAUUUUGUGGAGGCCUAACAUAUGUUCAUAAAUGAUCAUAAAAAAUAUUUGGAUCAUAAAUCUCACAAGAUGUUAACAUUUCUUCCAUUUCAUUUACAAUUAUUGCGUGAGUUACGCGUGAAAUCAUUCUAUGUAUCCAUGUUUCAACAUAAUCAAUACUUCACUUAUCAUUUUCAUGUGGGUACUUGAGAUUAUCUUAGUAUAGAAUGUUUAUUAGUUUCGACAACUUAUUUGCAAUUUUUGUCAAAACUAGAAUAUUUUAUGAAUUUAAUUGCAUUUUGAUGAUUUUCUAUAGAAAGAAAUUAAUAAUACACAAAUAGCCUCAUAAAUUCAUGAAAUUUUACGGAGGCACAACAUAUGUCCACAUAUAGUCAUAAAAUAGUGGGACCAUAAAAUCCAUAAGAUGUCAGCAUUUCUUCUAUUUCACUUCCACGUCUUCGCGUGAGUUACAUGUGAAAUCACUCUAAGUAUCCAGGUUUCAGCAUAAUCAAUACUUCUGUUUACCAUUUUUGUGUGGGGACUUGAGGUUAUCUUCUUAUGAAAUGUUUAUUAGUCUUGAUAAUUUAUUUGCAAUCUCUGGUCAAACAAGGAUAUUUUAUGAUAAGCAAUUCAUUCAUUAUCUAGCAAGUAUAUGAUACCGGAUAAAAUAAUAUAUGUAUCCGUCACUUAUCCGCACGAAUAAAUAUCUGGUCCAUGUAUCCAUAUCCAACCCAUUUCUAACUAUCCAUAUCCGACCCCAAUUCCAAUUGAAAUACAUUUGGGUAGGAUACAGGAUGAUCUACUAUUCGUCUCGUUUUCACCCCUACAUUUUAUUGUUGGUAUUGUCUUUAUGAUCAUUUAUUUAGUUAGGAUGGUAUAUACUUAUACUUAGUAACUGCUAAUAAAAUUUUGAUCAACAAAAUUAAAGCUAAUGUUUAGCAUUAGCCAUAUUCCUUGGUAAGCUUACACUGCUUUUUUCCCUACACAUUUGCUGAGUAUCAACCAUAAGUGUACUCACUCUUGAGGGAUUUGCUGCUCGGAAUUAGGUCAACAUGAAGAAGAAUACUAUGAUGAGUUCGAGGAGUCUAGGCUAUGUCGCUCCGGUUCACCUAUCUGUGGCUUAUGAUCGGGUCGUCGUCGUCGUGAUCAUCGUUUAGUUUCUAUUAUUUAGUUAUUUUGUAUAGACAUUUUACUUAUACAAUAAAGUUUGUGGCACUAGUUUCUAUACAAUAAGUCAUCAUAUGUGUGAAAUUUGAUCCUGGCACACAUAUGAGAUACAUCAGGAUUUGUCCUUAAAUCCGGUUGUGACGCCGACCAUGUUGGUCGUGUGAUAUCCUGGCCCCUGAGAUGGUGUUUUCCUAGCCCAAGGCUUAAUAGAAUUAAUAGAGUAUCCAUACCAACAAGGUGCAUCUUCUUUUUCAGAAGCCUAUCUCGAAAGAAUUUCCAUGUUAAGCGUGCUUGGCUUGGAUCGAUUUGGGAUGGGUGACCAACCGGGAAGUUUUCUCAGGUGCGCAUGAGUGAGGACAAAGUGUGCAUAAAAGACUCGUGUUGGUCUGUGGGGACGAUAUAUGAUCCUAGAGAGCUGCCAUGAGUAAGUACCGCCGGUCCAGGGAUUGGACGGGGUGUUACAGGUCGGUAUCGACCGCGCAUUAGAGUCCUGCUGGUAUCCACCAUGUCUGGUCGGUACCAACCACCUAGUGCCGAUGUGGUAGAUUCUAUUCAGUAGAAUCCAUUUUAAUCGUUGGAAUUCAAAAAAAUCAAAAAACUUAAAUCCUCCCAUUAAAUAUAGAGGGGGUGUAUGGGUUCAUUCGCACCCCUCACUCUUCAAUUCACAAGCCUUCUUCUCUGUUUGUUGUCGCCCACUCUCUAUCUUGCAUGAAUCCAAGGUGGAUUCUUAACUUUGAUAUGUUCACCGACUUGCACAACAAGCAAUCUCCACAAUAUCUUGAGACCCCCUUUUGGUGUGGGCAGAUCUUCUCCGAUGGUCUUUCUCCUAUCCAACAUUGGCUAGAAGAUGUUUAUGUUUGUCUUCAUUUCUUGACUCUCCAACCAUUGUUCCAUAUUCGUAUCCAUGCUGACCAUCCAUUGAUGUUCCUCCUCCUACCACUGAACCAAUUACAUCCAACGCUCCUUCUCCUCCUACUAGUGAAGUUUCUUCCACCGAUGUUACUCCUCCUCAACCUUUCACUUAUUCGUACCUUCCUUCAUACCUGUACUUGUAUGGGUAUCCAUAUGAUGAUCCUCCCUCAUUUCUUCCUCUAUAUGAUGCUCCUCUAAUAUAUGGUGCUCAUGCUCCUUUUUACCCUUCCAUAGGCAUGACAAUGCCCCCAAGCAUCCAUAAGGAUGCAGCCUCCAACUAGUCCACAUACUCUGGUGUGACUUAGUUCCAACGACAAAUGGAUUGGACUAGUAUGGAGGACAAAAGACUCGUAAGUAUUAAGUACAUAUAUAUUUUUAUAAAUCAGACACAAGUUUUAGCUCGACAACAUUUUUUAGUUCAUAAACUUGUAGAUCCACGCAUGGCUAUUGCACUCUAUUGACCCCAUUAAGAGAAAUGACAAAAAUGGAUCUAUCUUUUUGUAUAAGCCAAAUAAUAACUAUGUGCAACUCCACCUCAAAACCUCCUCACCAUAAUACCCCCAAGCAACCAAAGGACCAGUGGUCCAUAAGCAAUCAUAAGGUCACCCUCUUCAAUGACACCUACAACCAAUUAUCCAUGGCAUGGCUAGUGGAGCAAAUUGUGCUAUGCUUCUCAAAGUGGAAAAGAAGAGCUUCCACAAUAGGCCUAGUGAAACGUACUUUCAACUAGAGCACAUAUGGAGUGCUCUUCACCAGUAGCCCAAGUGGUGCGCGUGGCAUGAUGAUGAUGACGCUAGAUAUACAAGCAAUCGAUCACGUCUCAAAAUAGAAGUUGAUUAUAGCUCUGCAUCGCUAGACAAUGUCGGACCCAUAUGACAUAUUGGCCAUGAUAGGGAAAGAGCGCAACACAAAGGGAAGGGGCCAACAACGAGUAGCAUGGUGAACAAGCUCUACAAGGCUAGCUAGAGGAUAACACAAUCAAAAUUAUUUGAGCACUUCACCAAGUUAUUAGAUCAGUCAACCAUCAAUAUGGAUGAUGUCUUGAAAAAGACACAUAGGUUGGGUGUAAAAAAUGACCAAGCAAUUGAAACUAGAUGAGGAAGAAAAUGUGGAACUGAUAGAGGAGGGUGAUGACGAUGAGUAGUAGUAAUGUAUUAUUUUUUUACAAACAUGUAUUUUUAUUUAAAAAAUACAAAUUUAUUUAUUUUAAUUAUGUAAUUUUAUUUUCUUAAUUGAAUGAUCAGAUGAUUUUUCCAACAAAAUAUAGUGUAUUGUUUCAAAUACAAAUCGGUAAAAGAAAAAGAUAGUGUGGUGUUGACGUGACUAUGGUUGACAAUAAACUUGUAUAAAGUCUUAUAAUUAAUAAGGGAUCAUAGCACGAUUGAUAGUGUGAAUGAUAGCUGAUGGUGAUAAGUGUCGAGUGCAUUAGAUCUAGCCUAGGCCAUAUGGAUUAUGUUAUCGCAAGCCUGGAUCACUAUUCAUAGUAUGAAAUAUGUUAAAGUCUAUGGCAUAUUGUCAAAAGUAUUGAGAUUCUUAAUAUGAAUUGAUGCUAAAAUGCUUUUGCACAGACAAUUGAUGAUGCAAGAGGAUAUAUUAGCAGGGUGGGCUCAAUUAUAUUAAAUGGUAUUCGAUUGAAUAUCUAGUUUUUUGGCAAGAAAAAUUAUCUAUUUAGUGUAUAUAUGUAUACAUACUGGACAGAAGAAAAAUGAAGAUAAAUAAAUAUACAAUGAAGAAUUGGGUCCAAAAUAGACUUUUCUACUAUCCCCUCCCCAUCCUUGGACUAAUGGCCCAUUUUGGUCGAAGAAUGUAUAAGGCAAAAAGCCAAAAACAACUUGGCCUCCCCAUCCUACCUAUUCACUCUAUUUCUCAGCCUCACACCUAUGACUGUUGAAAGCAUCUAGGCCCUCAAAAGUUAUGAUGAUUAAUGACAACAUAAGAUUAUUGUGACUAAUUCGUGUUGCAUAGGCAAAUUUGAGUUAGAUCAUAAUGAUGGAGAAUGGUUUAGACAAUGUAUGUUUUCUAUGCCCCUACUUAUGAAUUUCGUUGUGGUCUUCAAAAGGAUGAAAGACAAGGUUAAGAAUCAAUUAGUUCUAAGUUUCGAUUGGAGUUGAGACACUCAGAGUAGUUUGGGACUUAGUUGUUCCUUUUACCAUACUAUAAAGGGAGUAGUUUAGGACUUCACUUUUCCUUUGAUCGUACUAUAAGGGGAGUAUAAACUAGUAGCUUGACUAAAUAAGUCUAAUGAGUCUAGUGUGGCAUAAACUAGUUGUUUUUAACUCUAGCUGACUUAGAAGGGGCCAAAAACUAGUCAGGAUCAAAACUCAACUCUUAAGUUUCAAAAUUGGACAAGUUAGAAGGGUUUCAAUGUCUUAGACCUUGUGUUUUACGGUUAUUAGACCAUAGUGGAUUAGUCUAAUUCCUCCACAUAGACAACAUGAGAGCACCCAAUCAUCAAACCCUAAAAUAGUACCUCAUCGAACCAAUGCAUUGGGUCCAAUUGUUUGUGUGAUCAGAUGGAGAGCUCUAGGGGUACGCCGGAUUGGUUCGAUGAUAUGUGUCAGACUGAACAAUGGCACUAUUUCAGCUACGGUUUUGGCUACAGGGUCAUCGGGCGCUAUGAACAGUUGCCUCAUUGAACCAAAGAGGAUAAGUCUAACAAGUGUUGCCCAAUGACUAGAGAGAUUUUUGUGGGCAUCAUUGUCGGCGUUUCGACCCCGGGUGGUCCCUGGACCGACGAGUAAAUUGUCGUUGUGUGUCCUAGCCCAGAUGGGUCGACGCGAGAUGGAACACAAGGGGGGAAAAGGGAACCGCGGCUCGUGUUAUCCUGCACCCAGGGCGGAUGCGCUUGCAGUAGGGGGUUACAAGCGUUCACGAGAGAGGGAGAGAGCCUGUUCGUCAGCCCGUCCUCCCGCGCGGCCACCUCCUCAUACGAGGGCCCUGGACCUUCCUUUUAUAGAUGUAAGGAGAGGGUCCAGGUGUACAAUGGGGGAUGUAGCAAUGUGCUAACGUGUCCGGCAGAGAGGAGCCAGGGCCCUAUGUACAUGCCGACGUGGCUGUCAGAGAGGUGUUAGUGCCCUGUGCAUGUGAUGUCGUGGCCGUCGGAGGAGCACUUGAGCCCUGUAGAAGCACAGCUGUCGGGGCUGUCGGGUCCUUGCUGACGUCUCCUUGCUUCCGUAGGGGCCUGAGAACCGCCGUCGUCAUGGGAGCACGCGGGGUGCCAUCAUUACUUGUUUACCGGGGCGAGCCAGAUGGGACGCUGGUCUUGUUCCCCAUAGCCUAAGCUAGCUAGGGGUAGGGUAAUGAUGUACCCCCCUGUAACGUGGUCGGUCCGAGCCCAAGGUCGGGCGAGGCGGUGAUUCCUCCGAGGUCGAGGCUGAGUCCGAGCCCUGGGGUCGGGCGAGGCGGAGACCGUCUUCCGGGGUCGAGGCGGAGUCCGAGCCCUGGGGUCGGGCGAGGCGGAGAUCGUCUUCCGAGGUCGAGGCGGGGGCCGAGCCCUGGGGUCGGGCGAGGCGGAGCUUCCUAUGGCGCCUGAGGCUGGACUCGGCUGCUGUCAGCCUCACCCUGGCGGGUGGCACAGCAGUCGGAGCAGGGCAGGCGGCGCUGUUUUCCUAUCAGGUCAGUCAGUGGAGGGGCGAAGUGACUGCAGUCACUUCGGCCCUGCCAACUGAGGAACGCACGUCAGGAUAAUGUGUCAGGCGAUCCUUGCAUUGAAUGCUCCAACGAUACGGUCGGUUGGCAAGGUGAUCUGGCCGAGGUUGCUUCACUGCGAAGCCUACCCGAGCUGGGCCACGGGCGAGUCGAAGGUGCGCCCGUUGCUUGAGGAGGCCCUCGGGCGAGGCGUGAAUCCACCUGGGUCUACUGUUCCUGCCCGAGGUUGGGCUCGGGCGAGGUGAGAUCGUGUCCCUUGAGUGGACGGAGCUUUGACCUGUAUUGCGCCCAUCAAGCCUUUGCAGCUUGUGCUGAUGGUGGUUACCAGCCGAGUUUAGGAGUCUUGGGGGUACCUCUAAUUAUGGUCCCCGACAAUCAUACUAGUCCGACAAUGAGUGUAGGAUCAUACGUCGAAGGCUAAGUUUUAAAUGACCAGUUCUGACAUGGCACAAUAGUUACCAUUGUGUCUCAUCAGACCCUACAUUAAGGUACGACAAUGAUCGUUGGAUGGUAUGGUGAUGUUGAAUUUAGCCUAACUUGGCAGUAAUGGUUGGUUAGCUGGUUUGGGACUACAAAUAUCCCCAUCAAAUGGCCAGCACACCUACCCUUGUCUUCAUUUAAUAGCCAAAGUAACCCAUAUAUUGUGAGAUAAGGAGUCAUUGCAUAGUGGGGGACUUGAGAGUCGGAUUCAUAAUUUUAUUGUCCUAAUUAAUGCAAACAAGAGAUAUUAGUGUGCAUCCAUUAAUCACAUCAGUUUUUUAGAGACAAUUGAUAAUUUGUGUUUACUACUCUUGGUGACUAGCAUCACCUAGAUGGUUUGGUGGCACUUGAAGUGCAACGAGCGUCUAGAGAGAUAGUGGGUGGCCCAACUGAAAAACUAUAUAUGGUUGUGAGCGGUUCACCGUGAUGAAGUGGAAAAGAACUAGCUUGCAGUGAGCACUUAGUCCUUGUGCGAAUCAAGGGGGGUGAAAACCUUAUGUGGUUGCUCCAAUAAUGAGGAUUAGGGAAGAACGUCGACUCUCUGUGACAUCAGAACGAACUUGAGGAAUCUUCUAAAUCCUUGCAUUACUUUCCACAAUUAUGUUUGUACAAAUUUACAUUGUUAGAUUUGCCAUGAUGCAUAGUGUUGAAAUUAAGGCACAAAAUUUUUGUAUACACAUUAGACACUCUGGUGAAAUUAAGCUUAUUAUAAUUAGGAUAUGCAUAUGUAUUGUGAUGAAGAAAAGAAAUGAAGAUCAAUAAACAUCUAGUGACAAAUUCAAUAUAAAAUAGAUUUUUCUACUCCCCUCCCCUCCACACCCGGGGAAAUCCUCAGCCACCCUUCCCCACCUAUUCACUCUCUUUCUCGGUCCCUCCCGUGAGUGUAACUGAAAAGGUGGUGAUCGGAAACACUUCAAGCCCACUACUUCUCCCCGUUUGGAAUUAAACACCAAUAAGGAAGAUGUUAAAAGAAAUAGGGAUGGUCAAUUCUUGUGACCCUAUAAAAUUUUCCUCCUUCCAAAUGAAAUAUCCCCCUUUGUUAUAAGAAUUUGUUCAAAAUAAUUUGACCGUUGCAAUAAAUAGACUAAAUUGAUCCUAUAUGUAUGCAUAAAUAUGAUGAAUAGCAAACCAUAUGAAUAACAUAGUAAUGAAUUGAAAGCAUGUGGGAGUUUAACCUAUACGAAGAAAGCAAGCAAGAGAUACUAAAUACUCUUGAAACCAAUAUGCAUGGUAUUAAAGUUGAUACUAGUAUUGUCGGCGUUUCGACCACGGGGGGUCCCUGGACCGACGAGUAAAAUUGUCGCUGUGUGCCCCAGCCCAGAUGGGUUGGCGCGAGAUGGAACACAAGGGGGGGGGGAAACCGCGGCUCAUGUUAUCCUGUGCCAGAGGAGGAUGCGCUUGCAGUAGGGGUUACAAGCGUUUGCGAGGGAGAGAGAGAGUGUGUGAGCCGGUUCGUCAGCCCGUCCUCCCGCGCGACCCCCUCCUCCCGUAUAAGGGCCUUGGCCGUUCCUUUUAUAGAUGCAAGGAGAGGGUCCAGGUGUACAAUGGGGGUGUAGCAAUAUGCUAACGUGUCCGGCAGAGAGGAGACAGAGCCCUAUGUACAUGCUAACGUGGCUGUCGGAGAGGUGCUAGAGUCCUUUGUACGCGGUGUCGUGGCCGUCGGAGGAGUGUUUGAGCCCUGUAGAAGAACAGCUGUCGGGGCUGCUUGGACCUUGCUGACGUCUCCUUGCUUCCGUAGGGGGCUGAGAACCACCAUCGUCAUGGACGCACGCGGGGAGCCAUCAUUACUUGUUACCGCGGCGAGCCUGGAUGGGACACCGGUCUUGUUCCCCCAUAGCCUGAGCUAGCUAGGGGUAGGGUAAUGAUGUACCCCCUGCGGCGUGGUCGGUCCGAACCCAAGGUCGGGCGAGGCGGAGACUCCUCUUGAGGCCAAGGCCGGGGUCGGGCGAGGACGCGAUUCCUCCCGAGGUCGAGGUUGAGGCCGAGCCCUGGGGUCGGGCGAGGUGGAGACCACCUUCCGAGGCCGAGGCGGGGGCCGAGCCCUGGGGUCGGGCGAGGCAGAGACUUCCUCCUGAGGCCGAGGCCCAAGGUCGGGCGAGGCGGAGCUUCCUGUUGCACCUAAGGCUGGACUCAGCUGCUGUCAGCCUCACCCUAGCGGGUGGCACAACAAUCGGAGAGGGGCAAGCGGCGCUGUUCUCCUGUCAGGUCAGUCAGUGGGAGGGCGAAGUGACUGCGGUCACUUCGACCUUGCCGACUGAGGCACGCGUGUCAGGAUAAGAUGCCAGGCGAUCCUUGCAUUGAAUGCGCCUGCGAUACGGUCGGUUGGUGAGGCGAUUUGCCAAGGUUGCUUCACUACGAAGUCUGCCCGAGCUGGGCUUCGAGCGAGUCGAGGGUGCGCCUGUUGCUUGAGGAGGCGUGAAUUCACCUGGGCCUACUGUUCUCGCCCGAGGCUGGGCUCGGGCGAGGCGAGAUUGCGUCCCUUGAGUAGACGAAGCCUUGACCUGAAUUGCGCCCAUCAGUCUCUACAGUUUGUGCUGAUUGUGGUUACCAGCCGAGUUUAGGAGUGUUGGGGUACCCCUAAUUAUGGUACCUGACAGUAGCCCCUGAGCCUCAAAGGGAGUGUUGGUACUCGCUUGGAGGCUUUGUCGCACUUUUUUGCAAGGGGACCAACCUUUCUCGGUUAUAUUUUGUUCCGGUGGGUGCGCGCGAGCGCACCCGCCGGGUGUAGCCCCUGAGGCCUCAGAGGAGUGGUUUGACUCCUCCAAGGUCUUAAUGCCUUUAGUGAUGCCUUGGCCAGUCUGGUUGUUCCCUCAUGCGAUCUGAUCGUAGCCCGGGUGCAUGGUCAGGUUCCGAGUUUUCAGGCUGGUCUGUUGACGCUGUCAACGGUUUGGCCGUAGCCAGGUUUGCGAGAGCAGCCCCCGAGCCUCUGCAUGGAGCGAGAGGACGAUCAAGGACUGACUCGACUUUUAUCAUACGCCCCUUCGUCGCCUUUCCGCAAGGAGGAAGGGGGGAAAGCGCCAUGUUGCCCUCGGAGGGCGCCGAACAUGGUGUCUCCAGUGAGUUGCUAACGGGUGAUCCGAGUGGACGCCCGUGCCCCGUUCGAUAAGGGUCGGCUAGUGGCCCAGAGGCGCGCUCCAAAAGUACCUACAGGUGAUUUGCCAGACCCGGUCCCGUUCGAUAGGGUCCGAGGGCUCGAUGCCUCCCUCUGAUGGGAUUCCGUUACAAAAUCGCUCCUGCUGGUCUCGGAAAUGUCCUAGGGUACCUCGGGAGCGUAGCCCGAGCCUCGGCCAUGUAUCGGUCGUACCCAGAGUCAUCCCUCGCUCUGCGUGCUCUGGGGCGACUGUCGAACCCUUCCGAGGGGCCAGCCUUCGAACCCCUGAUCAGUAGUGGGCGCGGAGCCCGAGUGCUCUGAGGCGGCUGUCGAACCCUUCCGAGGGGCCAGCCUUCGAACCUCUGAUCAGUAAUGAGCCUGAAGCCCGAGUGCUCUGGGGCGGCUGUCGAACCCUUCCGAGGGGCCAGCCUUCGAACCCCUGAUCAGUAGGAGGGCUUGGGGCCCGCUUCCUUCGCGGAGAAGGAUCCCUUUCAAAAUAUCCCCUUUCCCGGUCCCUGUGGCAAGAGAGAGAAAGGGGAAGAGGAAAAGGAUAUGAAUUUAAACGGUGUGGCGCACCUUCUUUGAUGUGGUCAUCAUGGCGGAGGUGAAACGACGCCCGCUUCUCCUGCCAAAGGUGUCGCUUGCCCUGCCGCGAAGUUAAUGCUAUGGGACGGGUGGUUCACAGGGCGGUCGUUGCGCGAGCCGUUCGAGGGAUGGAACACGGACACGUCGUCUUCACGCCGUGGGAGAGGGCUCCCCUGCUGCUCUAGGAGGGGACGUGAGCCUGCAGACGACUUGACUGCUGCUUCCGCUCGCCUGCUGCCGCCAUUACUGUCGGCCUAGUUUUGGCCAUAUCGACCAUCACGCCUCCUCCCGCGGCUGACUGACCCGUGACCGAUGUGCUCGGUUGGCACUGUUGGGCCAUGCGCAGGGUUGCCUCGAGUCGCGGCACUGGCUCCGCAGUCGAGAAGGCGCGGCGUUGGCGCAAAGGGCGGUGCAGUUUCUCGCACGUAGUAACUGGCGCGCCGGUUACAUGAUGUGUGGGCCUAGGCCUCCAUGCUGGAUGCGUCGAAGUCGAAGGGGUGCGUCCCCGUGGUGCGCUUGCACGCCACCUGCAUGGCGGUCCGCCCUUUCAACCACUGGUUUCGGCGAGGAUGGAGGAGUGCUUAUAACCGCGAGGCGGUUACACGCUCCGCGCGCGAUGGUUUGGCUUCUUCUGUUCCGGGCCAGCUUGCAUGACGUGUAGGACCCUGCCCCCAUGUCGUAGGCGGAGGACCCUGGAGCACGUUGGUGAGGACUUAGCCCGCGACGCUUGAGGGAGAGCCGCCUUUAAAAAGGGAUCGAUCCCCCGGGCGGUAGCCAUGCCUUCGCACUCCCCUCAUGCAUCGCGCCCUUCCACCUUCCGAGCCCCCGGAUGGGGAGCGCCCGCGUUGCCUUCGUCUUGUUGUUGGAGGAGCGCAACCUCACGGAGGUUGGCACCCUUCAGCCAUCGCUCGACUUCAAGGAUUUUCAUCAGGCAGCCCGGCUGCAUUCCCUCACCAAUGGUCACCCAGGCUGGUGACCACCAGUUCGAUGGUGGGGAGAAGCAAGUCGGGCUGCGGCCUCUGCCCCGCCCUCAGCUUCAAGGAUCUUCAUCAUCCUUGCUGUGGCGGGGGGCGAGCUGAGCCGAAGCUCUACCUCCCGUAUGGGCCGGUGGGCCACCUCUUCCUUCAGCAUUCAGGGGAGAGGGCACUCACCGGCCUAGCGGAGGGGCGGACUUCGACAACGCGGGGUCGGUCGGCCGCAAGCGUUGUCAGCUCCAGCAUGCCUGGCUCACUGGCUCAGCUGGCUCUGGCGCUGCUUUUGGUGCCACCUCCGACCGCUGGGGCGGAGUGUGGCUGUCCACCCACCGUACGGGCGGCUGUUGUGCCAUGCGCACCGGGGGACCGUCCAAGACGUCGCUCGCCGCUAGGGCGGCGUUCGUGUUCUUGGAUUAUCUUGUCCUCACUCCGGCACGACCCCUCCGUGUGGAGGUCGGUGCCUGCCCGUCCGCGAGGACUUGAGUGGGGUUCUGCCAGUGCAGGCUGGGGUGGCUACCAUUUCAUUGGCGUAGCGCCGGCGUGCAGGUGGCCGCUGUUGUCGGUGCUGAGGUGGUGGUCGCCAGAGGAGGUUUCUCCGCCGACGAGAUUGUCGGUGCCACCUGCGGCCGGACCUCCGGCUCUUUGGCUUUGAUAGCUUUUCCUCGCCCCUCGAGUGGGGACGUGGGCGAGGGCCUUGCCAUAGCAGCAUCUGCCCUGAGGUCAUCGCCGCUGCUGUUUAGCCGCCCGGAGCGGAGGUCGUUGUCGCUGCUGCUGCAGUGGUCGGCGGUGAGCCACUUGGAGUUUGUCGUCCCACAGGCCCUCUGAUGUGGAGGUUGUUCAUACCCGCGGGAGUGGAACCGGAGUUCCGUUUGUAAUGGCACCUUGAGUGCCGGUGUGUGUUCAUUGUGGCUGUCGGGGCCUGAACAUCUGGGGAUUUGGGCGUGAAGCCGUGUUUCUCCCUCAUUUCGAGCGCCGUAACUCACCUGUCGGCUAGCUGAACUGCUUAACCGAGUGUGAGUUGCCCUGUGCGGAAGGUUACGAGUGAGAUAUCCGUAUCCCAGAGGCGUAGGAGUCCCUCGGCUCGGUCGACCUUACCACUCAAGGCUUCUCUUGCUCAGUUACGGAACCCUCGGCCGCUCUACGAUGAGCCGGAGCCGGAGGCAGCGGUGUCAGCGUGGACAGAGGUGGAGUCGGCUCGAGAAGAGGCUUUGUCGGCCCGGGGGCACGUGGCUUCCCUGGCCGGGCCCUGCGUCAAAAUUUUCCUCGGAAAAAGUCUUUCUGCCAGAAGAUCUUUCACGCUUUUCGACUGCUUCGAUAGCGGGGUUCCCUGGCCAAGGAGGCGCAGCAGCGGCGGCUGGAGCCUAGCCAGGUCAUCCGUGAGUAGGACCAACUUCGGAGUUAGGCUGCCGAGGCCGUGAGCCGGGCUGAUGUCCUCGGGGGACAGCUGGCUGAGGCUACGGAGCCGCCGGUCGAGAUGUCUGCUCGGGCCGGGACCCUAGAGGAGACCCUGGCUGCGAUGGCCCAAGCGCGGUGCUGACGUCUUCCUUUGAGGUGGAGAUCCUUCCGCCCGUGUCGCCGUCCGAGGCCGGGCCAGAUUUCGCCGAAGGUGGAAACAACACCGAGGGUGCUGCUGUUCCCUCUGUCGAUGUCUGAACCUGCAAGAACAGUUUGUCUGUAGUGUGCGUAUGUUUUUUGCGGCCGCUGAGGCCCAAACACUUUGUUGUCGUGUUAUAAAGCUGUGUUUCUUUUCCUCUCAUUUCGAGUAUCAGGACUUGUUCGUCAGUAGCAGAAUCACUUAUCCGAGCGAGAGUUACUUAUCGUGGAAGGUGAUGAGUGAGGUAUCCAUUAUCCCGGAGGCGUAGGAGUCCCUCGGCUCGGUCAGCCUUGCCGCUUACGUGUACUUUUACUCGUCCGCAGGAUUCUGUUAUCGAUAUAGUCGAUAAGGCACGAAAAUCAUUCUGGCAGAAAAGUUUUCGAGCGUUGAGACUUGUUCGGCAGCAGAAUCGCUUAUCCGAGCGUGAGUUACUUAUCGCGGAAGGUGAUGAGUGAGGUAUCCGUAUCCCGGAGGCGUAGGAGUCCCUCGGCUCGGUCGGCCUUGCCGCUUAUGUGUACUCCGUCGUUUUCAGGACCCCGCUAUCGAAGCAGUCGAAAAGCGCAAAAGAUGUUCUGGCAGAAAGACUUUUUCCGAGGAAAAUUUUGACGCAGAGGGGGUUCCCCCCUUCUAGCCCCCGAGGGAGGGUCUGGCUUUGCCGAGGCAAGGCUGACCCUUCCUUGACGGUUAGACUCUAUUUGUGUAUGUAAAGAAAACGAGGCAUAUGAACAACUCGAAACAUCUUAAGGGUAGAAGCGACGUAGCUAUCGGAUGUUCCAAACGUUGCUGUAGACCUCACCAUGAUCGUUGGCCAGCUUGUAUGUCCCGGGCUUCAAAAUCUUGGCGAUGAUGAACGGCCCUUCCCAGGGGGGAGUAAGCUUGUGGCGCCCUCGGGCGUCUUGCCGCAGCCGAAGCACCAAGUCUCCCACUUGGAAGUCUCGGGGCCAAACCCCUCGGGCGUGGUAGCGUCGCAGAGACUGCUGAUACCGUGCCGAGUGUAGCAAGGCCACAUCCCGAGCCUCUUCCAGCUGGUCCAGCAAGUCUUCUCGGUUGGUCUGAUUUCUUUGGUCGUCGUACGCCUUUGUCCUCGGGGAACCGUAUUUUAAGCUAUGGGCAAGAUAGCCUCGACCCCAUAGACUAGAAACAACGGUGAGAAACCCAUGGCUCGGCUUGGCGUCGUCCUCAGACUCUAGACUACCGAGAGUAGUUCCUUCAUCCACCACUUGCCGAACUUGUUGAGGUCGUGGUAGAUCCUUGGUUUAAGUCCCUGCAGAAUCAUGUCGUUGGCACGCUCCACCUGCCCAUUUGUCAUGGGGUGAGCCACGGCUGCCCAGUCCACCCGGAUGUGGUGGUCCUUGCAGAAGUCGAGGAACUUCUUCCCAGUGAACUGGGUGCCGUUGUCGGUGAUGAUGAAAUUCGGGACCCCGAAGCGAUGGAUGAUGUUGGUGAAGAACGCCACCGCCUGCUCGGACCUGAUGCUGGUUAGGGGUCGGACCUCGAUCCACUUGGAGAAUUUGUCGAUGGCGACCAGCAGGUGCGAGAAGCCCCUGGGUGCCUUCUGCAAGGGACCAACGAGGUCUAGACCCCACACAGCAAACGACCAAGUGAUGGGUAUUGUCUGCAGGGCCUGAGCGGGCAGGUGCGUCUGCCUCGCGUAGAAUUGACACCCCUGGCAGGAGCGUACAAUCCUAGUGGCGUCGGCCACCGCGGUUGGCCAGUAGAAGCCCUGUCGGAAAGCGUUCCCAACGAGGGCUCGAGGUGCUGCGUGGUGACCGGAAGCCCCCGAGUGUAUCUCUUGCAAUAGCUCCUGCCCUUCGGCGAUGGAUAUGCAUCGUUGGAGAAUGCCUAAGGGGCUGUGGUGGUAGAGCUCCUUUUCAUUACCCAGUAAGACGAACGACUUGGCGCGCCGCGCCAGUCGCCGAGCUUCGGCUUUGUCGAGGGGGAGCUCUCCUCGGUGGAGAUAUUGUAGGUAGGGGGUCUGCUAGUUCCGAUUAGGCGUGACCCCAUUCCGCUCUCCCUCGAUGCGCAGUGCCUCACCCUCGGCGGCCGAGGAUGCCUCGGGCUGGGUCGAGGCCUCCUCGGGUCGGGCCGAGGCCUCCUCGGGCUGGACCGAGGCCUCCUCGGGCUCGGGCGUGUCGUCGGUCUUGACGGAGGGUUGAUGUAUGUCUCUGGAGAAGACGUCCGGGGGAACCGUUGUCCGCCCCGAGGCUAUUUUAGCUAGCUCAUCCGCAGUCUCGUUAUAGCGUCGAGCGACGUGGUUGAGCUCGAGCCCGUAUAACUUGUCUUCCAGGCGCCAAACCUCGUUGCAGUAGGCCUCCAUCUUCCUGUCGCGGCAGUGGGAGUUCUUCAUGACUUGAUCAAUGACAAGCUACGAGUCGCCACGAGCGUCGAGGCGCCGAACCCCUAGCUCGAUGGCGAUGCGCAACCCGUUAACCAGAGCUUCGUACUCGGCCACGUUGUUUGACGCCGGGAAAUGGAGGCGCAGCACGUAGCGGAGGUGCUUCCCGAGGGGUGAGAUGAAGAGCAGGCCCGCGCCGGCUCCUGUUUUCAUCAGCGACCCAUCGAAGUACAUGGUCUAGAGUUCCGGUUGGAUCGGAGCUGUUGGUAGCUGGGUGCCGAUCCAUUCAGCCACGAAGUCCGCCAAGACUUGGGACUUGAUGGCCUUCUGAGGAGCGAACGAGAUUGUCUCGCCCAUGAUCUCCACCACCCACUUUGCUAUCCUACCCGAGGCCUCUCGGCACUGGAUGAUCUCCCCCAGGGGGAAGGAUGACACCAUAGUUACCGGAUGAGACUCGAAGUAGUGUCGCAACUUUCGCCGCUUCAGGAUUACUGUGUACAGUAGCUUCUAAAUUUGCGGGUAGCGGAUCUUGGUCUCGGAUAGCACUUCACUGAUGAAGUAGACCGGCCUCUGGACGAGCAGUGCAUGCCCUUCUUCUCGUCUCUCGACUACGAUCGCGGUGCUGACCACCUGAGUGGUCGCGGCUACGUAGAUCAAGUGGGCUUCUCCUGCAGUGGGGGGCACCAAGAUGGGCGCACUUGUAAGGAGUGCCUUUAAGUUUCCAAGGGCUUCCUCGGCCUCGGGGGUCCAAGAGAAGUGCUCGGUCUUCCUCAAGAGGCGAUACAAGGGUAGGCCCCUUUCGUCGAGGCGUGAGAUGAAGCGGCUCAGAGCUGCAAGGCAUCCCAUGACCCUUUGUACUCCUUUCAAGUCUUUGAUAGGCCCCAUGUUGGUGAUGGCCGCGAUUUUCUGCGGGUUGGCCUUGAUGCCCCGCUCAGAGACGAUGAACCCCAGGAGCAUGCCUCGGGGGACACCGAAGACACAUUUCUCGGGGUUAAGUUUCACGCCCUUCGCCCUCAGACACUUGAAUGUUGUUUCAAGGUCAGAGAGAAGGUCGGAGGCUUUCUUCGUCUUGACUACGAUGUCAUCGAUGUAAGCCUCGACCUUUCGGCCGAUGUGCUCUCCAAACACGUGGUUCAUGCACCUUCGGUAUAUCGCACCUGCAUUCCUCAAACCAAAUGGCAUAGUAGUAUAGCAGUACAUGCCAAAAGGUGUGAUGAAAGAAGUCGCGAGCUGGUCGGACUCUUUCAUCUUGAUUUGGUGAUACCCUGAGUAGGCGUCGAGGAAUGACAGGGUUUCGCACCCAGCAGUGGAAUCCACGAUUUGAUCGAUGCGAGGCAGAGGGUAGGGAACCUUCGGACAUGCUUUGUUUAGACCAGUGUAGUCUACACACAUCCUCCAUUUCCCACCUUUCUUUUUCACAAGCACAGGGUUGGCUAACCAUUCGGGAUGGAAUACCUCUUUGAUGAACCAUGCAGCCAUCAGCUUGUGGAUCUCCUCGCCUAUGGCUCUGCGCUUUUCUUCGUCGAAACGGCGCAGAGGCUGCUUCACGGGUCGGGCACUGGCUCGGAUAUCCAGUGAGUGCUCGGUGACAUCCCUCGGUAUCCCGGGCAUGUCCGAAGGACUCCACGCAAACACCUCGGCGUUUGCGUGGAGAAAGUCGACGAGCACUGCUUCCUAUUUGGGGUCGAGCUUGGAGCCGAUCCGGACUUGCUUGCGGGCAUCGUUGCUGGGGUCGCGAGGCACGGACUUAACCGCCUCUACUGGCUCGAAGUUGCCGGCGUGGCGCUUUGCAUCAGACACCUCCUUGGAGAGGCACUCCAGGCCGAAGAUGAGGGCCUCAGAUUCGGCGAGGGCCUCAGCAUACUCCACGCACUCCACGUCGCAUUUGUACGCGUGUCGGUACGUGGAUCCGACGGUGAUGACCCCGUUGGGGCCCGACAUCUUGAGCUUGAGGUAGGUGUAGUUGGGGAUGGCCAUGAACUUGGCAUAGCACGGUCUCCCCAGCACCGCGUGGUAGGUUCCUCGGAAUCCGACCACCUCGAACGUGAGGGUUUCUCUGUGGAAGUUGGAGGGAGUUCCGAAGCAGACGGGCAGAUCGAGUUGUCCAAGGGGCUGGACGCGCUUCCCGGGGAUGAUCCCGUGAAAGGGCGCCGCACCGGCCCGGAUCGUGAACAGAUCGAUUUCCAAGAGCCCGAGGGUCUCGACGUAGAUGACGUUGAGGCUGCUGCCUCUGUCCAUGAGGACCUUGGUGAGCCUGACGUUGCCGAUGACGGGGUCGACAAUGAGCGGGUACUUUCCUGGGCCCGGCACGCAGUCGGGGUGGUCGCCUUGGUCUAAGGUGAUGGGCUUGUCGGACUAGUCUAGGUAGACUGGCGCCGCCACCUUUACCGAGCAGACCUCCCGGCGCUCCUACUUGCGGUGCCGAGCCGAGGCGUUCGCCACUUGCCCAUCGUAGAUCAUGAAACAGUCGUGGACCUCAGGGAACUCCUCUGCCUUGUCGCCCUCCUUGUCGUUGUCUUGGCAUUUGCCACCUUCCGCCGGGGGCCCAGUCUUAUGGAAGUAGCGCCGAAGCAUGACGCAUUCCUCAAGGGUGUGCUUGACGGGACCCUGGUGGUAGGGGCACGACUCCUUGAGCAUCUUGUCAAAUAGGUUGGCUCCUCUGGGAGGCUUCCGAAGGUUCCUAUGCUCGGCGGCAGCGACAAGAUCUGCGUCGGCAGCGUCGCGUUUCGCUUGCGACUUCUUCUUGCCUUUCUUCUUCGUGAUGCGCUGGGCGGACGCCUCGGGGACGUCUUCCUGCUGGCGUCCCUGAGGCUGCUUGUCCUUCUGGAAGAAGGCCUCGACCACCUCCUGACCAGAGGCGAACUUGGUGGCGAUGUCCAUCAACUCGCUCUCCCUGGUGGGAGUCUUGCGACCCAGUUUGCUCACCAGGUCGCGGCAAGUGGUGCCGGCGAGGAACGCGCCGAUGACAUCCGAGUCGGUGAUGUUGGGAAGCUCGGUGCGCUGCUUCGAAAAUCGCCGGAUAUACUCCCGCAGGGAUACCCCUGGCUGCUGGCGGCAGCUUCGGAGAUCCCAGGAGUUCCUAGGGUGCAUGUAUGUGCCCUGGAAGUUUCCAGCGAAGGCUUUGACUAGAUCGUCCCAGUUGGAUAUCUGCGCGGGAGGCAGAUGCUCCAGCCAGGCUCGGGCGGCGUCGGAGAGGAACAGGGGGAGGUUGCGGAUGAUGAGGUUGUCAUCGUCCGUUCCACCUAGCUGGCAGGCCAGCCGGUAGUCCGCAAGCCACAGUUCUGGCCUUGUUUCCCCCGAGUACUUGGUGAUGGUAGUCGGGGCUCGGAACCGGGUUGGGAACAGCGCCCGUCGUAUGGCCCGGCUGAAGGCUUGCAGACCAGGUGGUUCGGGCGAGGGGCUUCGAUCCUCCCCACUGUCAUAGCGUCCCCCACGCCUGAGGUGGUAGCCUCGGCACACCUUUUCGUCGAGGCGGGCUCGACCGUCGUGGUGGCGGUGCUCGUUGAUGAGGCAACCCGGGGCUGCAAGCAUCGCGUCCCUCGUGCGCCCGGUGUGGACCGAGGCUUCCCGCAUGAAUCAGGAAGUCGCGGCGUGAUGCUCCGGGGGGUACCCUUGCCUUCGAGAGGCAUAGCUCUCGGCCUGUCGGACCGCGGCAUCCUCCAAGAGAUUCUUGAGUUCUCCCUGGAUACGCCGCCCCUCGGUGGUGGAUGGCUCCGGCAUCGCUCGGAGUAGUAUUGCCGCUGCAGCCAAGUUCUGGCCGACCCCACUGGAAGCUGGGGGCAGCCUUGCCCUAGCAUCGUCAGUGAUACGGCGCUGGACGUCCUGGGCCUGAUGACACGCUUCUCCGGCUAGUGCUCGGCCUGCCCACUCCUGCUCGAUGUUUUGCCGGAGCUGCACAAGUUGUCCUGCUUCCUCGUCGAGCUUGGCCUGCAUCUCGCGGAUUUGCUCGAGCUGUGUGUCCUGACCCCCCGCAGGGACUGGUACCACAGCUAGCUCCCGCAGGAUGUCCACGCGAGGCCCAGGCCCAGGGGGAUCAUCGUCCUCCGGCAUACCAAGGUGGUUGCCUUCGUCGUGACCCCCUAGAUCGAUGUGGAAACAUUCGUGACUUGGGCCACAACCUUCGUCGUCAAGGCUGUGGCCAUCAUCGGAGCAAUGGGAGAGCCAGUAGUCUCAUGCGGUCAUGAAGUCUCGCAUGGCACUAGGAUUACCGAGCCCGGAGAAAUCCCAACCAGAGUCGGGCUCAUCGUCUUCCUCGGAACCCGGGGGCCCAUAGGUCGAGACGGCCGCCAGUCGGUCUCAGGUUGACCACAUAUGGUACCCCGGAAGGUUAGGAUAUGCCUUUAUGAAAGCGCUCACCGAAGCGGGAUCGCUUGGUGGAUCGAAGCUGAAUCUAAAAGGCACAGAGUGGAAAAUGGACGGUACCUCUUGAUCGAUGGACGGUGACGAGGUCGCGUCGGGGACGGACCGCACUGUUAUCUCAGGUAUGAGGCUAACGCCCAGCAAGUCCUCCACGGGAGUGCUAGCGUCAUCUGUCCUCUUGGGGUUGGCGUGUUGCAGGGAAACGACGCUCGUCGUUGUCCCGGGCGCGAGGGCAACGACAGACAUGUCCCCCGCUGGGGUGCCAGCAUCGUCGACUCGCUCGACAGCCGACGAGAUGUCGCCUCCCGCCUGGCCAUGAUUGCCCCGCCUCCUCCUCCUGCGGUGAGGAAGGCGGCAGGACAAACCCGGAUGCUGCUCUUCCGCCACGGGGGGAAGACGUCGCCAAGUCCGCCGCCGCCGGGCGGGCUGACGGCCGUCGUUGUCGCUGCCGCGCUGCGGGGGAAGGAGUACCAUGUCGUAGCUACCGUCGAGGGACAUGAACUCGAGACUCCCGAAACGGAGCAGCGUCCUGGGCUGAAGAAGUUGCUGGAGACUACCCAUCUGGAACUCAACGGGAAGUUGUUCGUCAACACGCAGCAGGCCCCUACCUGGCACGCCAACUGUCGGCGUUUCGACCCCGGGAGGGCUCCCUGGACCGAUGAGUAAAAUUGUCGCUGCGUGCCCCAGCCCAGAUGGGUUGGCAUGAGAUGAAACACAAAGGGGGGGACCGCGGAUCGUGUUAUCCUGCGCCAGAGGAGGAUGCGCUUGCAGUAGGGGUUACAAGCGUUCACGAGGGAGAGAGAGAGAGAGAGUGUGUGAGCCGGUUCGUCAGCCCGUCCUCCCGCGCGACCCCCCUCCUCCCGUAUGAAGGCCUUGGCCCUUCCUUUUAUAGAUGCAAGGAGAGGGUCCAGGUGUACAAUGGGGGUGUAGCAAUAUGCUAACUUGUCGGGUAGAGAGGAGCCAGAGCCCUAUGUACAUGCCAACGUGGCUGUCGGAGAGGUGCUAGAGUUCUGUGUACGUGGUGUCGUGGCCGUCGGAGGAGUGUUUGAGCCCUGUAGAAGCACAGCUGUCGGGGCUGCUGGGACCUUGCUGACGUCUCCUUGCUUCCGUAGGGGGCUAAGAACCACUGUCGUCAUGGACGCACGCGGGGAGCCAUCAUUACUUGUUACCGGGGCGAGCCUGGAUGGCACGCUGGUCUUGUUCCCCCGUAGCCUGAGCUAGCUAGGUGUAGGAUAAUGAUGUACCCCCUGCGGCGUGGUCGGUCCGAGCCCAAGGUCGGGCGAGGCGAAGACUCCUCCUGAGGCCAAGGCCGAGGUCGGGCGAGGACGCGAUUCCUCCCGAGGUCGAGGUUGAGGCCGAGCCCUGGGGUCGGGCGAGGCGGAGACCACCUUCCGAGGCCGAGGCGGGGGCCGAGCCCUGGGGUCGGGCGAGGCGGAGACUUCCUCCUGAGGCUGAGGCCCAAGGUCGGGCGAGGCGGAGCUUCCUGUUGCGCCUGAGGCUGGACUCAGCUGCUGUCAGCCUCACCCUGGCGGGUGGCACAGCAAUCGGAGAGGGGCGAGCGGCGCUGUUCUCCUGUCAGGUCAGUCAGUGGGAGGGCGAAGUGAUUGCAGUCACUUCGACCUUGCCGACUGAGGCACGCGUGUCAGGAUAAGAUGCCAGGCGAUUUGGCCAAGGUUGCUUCACUACGAAGCCUGCCCGAGCUGGCUUCGGGUGAGUCGAGGGUGCGCCCAUUGCUUGAGGAGACCCUCGGGCGAGGUGUGAAUUCGCCUGGGACUACUGUUCUCGCCCGAGGCUGGGCUCGGGCGAGGAGAGAUUACGUCCCUUGAGUAGACGAAGCCUUGACCUGAAUUGCACCCAUCAGUCUCUGCAGUUUGUGCUGAUGGUGAUUACCAGCCGAGUUUAGGAGUGUUGGGGGUACCCCUAAUUAUGGUACCCGACAAGUAUGUAUGGUACCUAUUGUUGUAGAAAUCUUGAAACACAAAGAAUGUUACUUGAUAAACUUGUUUGAUUUCAAAGCCUUGAAGAGAACGAAAAACACUCUACAUAAUGUUGAUAUAUGGAACGUAUAAACAAACAUAACACGUGCGGGGUAAUUAGCUUAUUAAACUUGACUAGUAGUGUGGGUUGGCGGCGAAGCACUUCCCCCUGAUCUCUCCCUCGUCGCUGGUGAGCACCUGGACCUUGCCCAUCUUAGCUAAGGCCUUGGCGAACUUGACCUGCCAUGCCUUCUCGACUGCUAAGUUGAAGUGGACCAUUUUGGCCGUCCAGGGAUUGUCGAGCAGUGUGUUGUCAGAGACGAAUAGGACCUUGUGCGCCAGCACGUUCUUGUAGUACUGGUUGUCGAAGGUCGUCGGUGUGACUGGGUCAAGCGGCACCACCGUGGGGGUCCAUCUGGUCGUUGGUGGACGGCCAAGGGCACCGCGCCUUGAGGUGCCUAGCAUAGGCUGGGUCGAGGGACGGGUCUGUCCGCCCCAGCUGCCCACUGAAGUUGUAGAGCCGCUACGUGAAGGAGGACAGUGGGAGCGGCCGAUGGUGUGCGUGCCAGAGAGCGUGACCAUGUCGUCGGCGUCCUCCACGGGCUGCGGCCGGCACUCGCUCCUCCGGGGCCACCAUCGCCACUGCUCGUGCCUCGGUAACCACCGCCGACGAGUGAGGGGGGCAUGUAGCUCGCUUGCGCCUCACCGGGCCGCGGCCGGCGCCCGUGCCUCAUGGGCUAUCGGCAUCGAUCGCACCUCUCGGGCCGUCAUCGCCGCUCGUACUUAGGGAACUGCUGUCGUCGCUCGUGCGUCAGGAUGGUGGCGUCAAAAAAUGAACUCUAGAGGCCUGGAACUCCUUUUAUAGACGUUGAUACCUGAUUGGAUUGGACUGUGUUGCCUAGUUUCUAGCCUAGGCUUCCUCUAGUUAUUAAAAACCCAAAUAUAUGGACUUUAGUACCAGUUCGUGAUUACAACCGGUGCUAAAGUUUUAACUUUAGUACAACUCUAGCCAAGAACCGAUACUAAUACGGGACCUUUAGUAACGGUUCUAACCAAGAACCGGUACUGAAGUACUAUCUAUAGUACCAGUCAGUGCAAUCGGUAAAUUUGCGGGCUUUUAGUGUCAGAUGCGGUCUUUUAGUCUAACUUUCAAUAAAUACAAGUACAAGAAAUUCAGUUGCAGUUCUCAAAAGCACUUCUCCCUAUAAAGAAAAGUGAAUUGUUUUGGUGAACAUCAAAGAAAAAGCUUGCUCUUCUUUCGUAAAAAAUUCUUCUAAAAAUAACGAACCCAAUCGUUGCAUAAAAGUUUGUACCGUACUUUUAUGUUUACGAGCUAAAGUUCUAGCAUAUGAAAGUCAAUAUAUAUUUUAGUCGAUACAAAGUCUGUUUUUUUGAAGAUCCACUAUGAUAAUGAAAAUAUUUCUACAUAAAACUCUCAGUGUUGUACAGACUACAUACACAGUGCUGGUCGCGGGAAAAAAAGAGCUUCUAUAUUUGUGAUCGGAUGUAAUCACUAAAUAUGUACAUGCAUGUUGUGCAAAUAACACCAUUUUACUUGAUAAAGUUGUUUGAUUUCACAGCCUUGAAGAGAACAAAAACACUCUACUUAAUGUUGAUGUAUGGAACGUAUAAACAAACAUAACACGCGCGGGGUAAUUAGAUAAUUAAACUUGACUAGUAGUGUGGGUUGACGGCGAAGCACUUCUCCCUGAUCUCUCCCUCGUCCCCGGUGAGCACCUGGACCUUGCCCAUCUUAACCAUGGCCUUGGCGAACUUGACCUGCCAUGCCUUCUCGACUGCGGCGUUGAAGUGGACCAUUCCGGCCGUCCAUGGGUUGUCGAGCAGUGUGUUGUAGGAGAUGAACAGGACCUUGUGUGCCAGCACGUUCUUGUAGUACUGGUUGUCGAAGGUCGCCGGCGUGACUGGGUCAAGCGGAACCACCGUGGGAUCCAUCUGGUCGUCGCUGGACGGCCAAUGGCACCGCGCCUUGAGGUGCCCGGCGUAGACGGGGUCGAGGGAUGGGUCCGUCUGCCCCAGCUGCCCGCUGAAGUUGUAGAGCCGCUGCAUGAAGGAGGAGCAGUGGGAGCGGCCGAUGGUGUGCGCGCCGGAGAGCGUGACCAUGUCGUCGGCGUUGAGCCCCUUGCGCUUGAAGCUCUUGAUGAGCUCGUCGACCUCGUCAGUCGGGGCGGGGACAUUGUUGUCGAGCACCUCCUCCUCUUUGGACACGCGACCGUCACGGCGGCCAGACGAGACCUUGUAGUCCAGGCCGCCGGCGAGGUAGGUGCUAUCACGGGCCGCGAACGCGACGAUGUCGGCGCAGGAGACGGUGCGCGGGCAGUGCGCCUCGAGGACGGCCUUGGCGUCGUCGAUGAUGUCAAAGCCGCGCAUGUUGGGGUUGUUGGCCACGGAGUCCUUCUCGGCCUUGUUGCCCGGCGUGGAGUUGAUGAGGAUGGAGCCGUCGUAGCCCCGGACGAAGCAGUCGUGGAAGUGCAUCCGGAUGAGCCUCGCGCCUAUGCCGGGCUCACGGGCGAUACCGCGGCGGACGGCGUGGCGCACGAUGUCCUCGGCGAGGCGUGUGCGUGUGCCGCUGAUGAGGAGACGACGACGAGCGCCGACAAGGCAAAUGCCAACCAAGUGGACCUCAUGACGAAGAUGAACAAUGGGUCGAUCAGAUGCUGCUCUCUCACUCUGAGCUUUCUAUCUGCUUUAGCUCUGGAGCUCGAUCGAGAUGAAGAGCUGCUUUAGAUGUUACUCUCUAUUUAUACAAUGUGCUUGGAACCGUGUUUGUGAACCGGGUCGACGAAUAAUAAGCAAGACCCGAUAUAAUCCCUGCAUCGCGAUAACAAUCAAGUAACAACUGCUACAAGAACUGUGUUAGUAGACUUUGUAGUACAUAUAUGUCAGCAUGUACCUAAUAAUGUUGCCCAAACUUUGUUGUAGCAGCAAAUGAUAAGCAAAGCAGAUAGUUGUUUAGAGAUCGAAAAUGAUGUUAGUUGCUUGAUCAGAGAAUUCAUGGAGACACAUACAAUUAAUUUGCCCCCUAAAAGCCAAAAGCCAAACCAAAGGGCUGGAUCCAGAAAGCAGCUUUUUCUAAAAGCUGACUUUCUCGCAGUGCAAAACUGAAAACACACCUAGACCUGCUUUUAGUAGCUUUCAGAUGGAACUGUGAAAACAUAUAUCGAAAUACUUUUAACGGCUUUUAGUGGUUUCACCAAAUAAUUUUUAGCUUUUUAAUAGCUCACAGCCCACAACAGCUUUUUCCACAGCUCACAGCACACAUCAGCUUUUUUCACAGCCACAGCCCAACCAAACAGACCCUAAGUCGUCAUGAUUAUUAGAUGGUCUAAUAUGAGUAGGACUCCAGAAGUAUAAAUAUGGCAAAAAUAUCAUUUGAAUAGAAGAGACAAGUUAGAGUCCUAAACAAAUAAGACAAUAUUCCAACAUAUAAGGUAGAGUCAUAAGCAAAUAAGACAUGAUUCUAACGGAUAAAAAAGUCACACUUGUAAUUAUAGAGUCAUGUGACUUAAUCGUAUUCACCACUUUAACUGCCCACCUCUUUGGACUAUAUCAGGAGAGACAAUGCAGCCCCAUGAGCAUAAACCAGAAUAUAACAGGUCAGUAGCCAUCAAAACACUGGACAUAGGGUAUUAUCUCAUGACGAGAGCCUAAACCAGCCUAACCUAAAUUGACCCUCGGGAAAUCCUCGAUAGAGGGGUUUGAAGUCCAACCUACAAAAGCAUUAGAGCAACGAGAGUUUACUAAGAAAGGUAAGUGUGUUCUUGAUCUCGUUGUUUUACUUAAUAAUGUUUACUAUUAUGUUCUCACCUAUGUAUUGCACAAUUAGAUUAACCUGAUGGGACCUAAUAGGUUACCUAACUUUGUUUUCCCUAUACCUUGUUUACCCCUAAGUUACUAAUUAUUGGGUAGACAUUCUUGUGCUCAACUUUGUUUUUGGGAAUAAUGAUACUUAUGAUUCAUGGUCAUGUUUUAUUAUGAUUUUUUAUUGUCGGUUUAUUUAUUAUGCAUGAUAAGUCAACCUUGUUUAAUUGGGACAUGGAGAACCAGUCGAGAAAACAAUGUAACCACAACUACUUUUAUGGCUCUAUUCUUAGCUAAUUGAUCAUGAAAGCUGGUGUGUAAGAACCUACCUCAACAGGGCCAAGCAGGGAGGAGUUGCUCAAGUAUAGAGAGGUUCUCAAGUUGAUCUGCUUUGCGGAAGCUGUUCAGACGAGGGGUUUAUAUACCAACUCCAUUUGAAACCGUAGCGGGUUUUCUCAUGUCAGUGGAAAUUUGUAAAGGCCUUGUAGUGAACCCUUCCUCACCUCCCUAGAAGAGAUGUAUGGGAGCCUUGAGCCCUUGGCAAAUGGGUAACAUAACUAUGGGUAAAGAUGUGCAACCUCUGCAGUGUGUAAAACUAAUAUAUCAGUCGUGCUCACGUUUACGAGCGGCUCGAACGCUCACAUGAUUAAAUUAUGGAAUUAAAUUAAAUCGGACGUGCAUUUUAUUAGGGGUGAAAACGGGUUGGGUAUAUCCCAUUUUUCGAUACGAAUUCAAGUAUUUUUAUACCUAGGACAGAUACGGGUAGUACCUGGAUAGUGCAGCUUCAGAUGCGGUACUCGGAUAUUCGAGUCAGAUACAAGCAUACAAAUUUCAGAUACCCGUUUUUUCUUUUUCUGCAUAAUAUAGUUAUUGUCGGUACCCUGAAUCAGGGGUACCCUCUUCUACAGCAUGAAGACGCUGUACACGUACGACGCCUCCAGACCACACGGAGAACGGCACCCGACCCCACCACAUGGGUAGGUCUAAGGGCACCACGUGGCAAGGAAAGAUAAUACAUCCUAGGAUGCAUCAUUGGGUCCGGGCCUCCAUAGAGGAACACCGGACCCCUGUACGUACAAGUCCGGAGCUCCCAAGAAGGCAUGCCGGGUCCCUUGGGUAGGCCCCGGGUCCCUCCGAGUAAGGUUCGGGCCUUGGCAAGGUCCCGGGACGGGGAGGACCCCGACAUGAGUAAGGGUCCGGUUCUGCCACGUGUUCAAGCCUUGCCCUACGCUCCCCACUCCGGCGGAGACCCGCUGCUGCCGCGUGGCUUGUGGCGCGUGACAUAAGCCAACGGGCCGAGCCUGACGAAAAGCCCCUAAAGCCGCGCAGCCUCUGCAUUUAUUACGGAGAGGACGCACCGCUUGACACCACGGUGACGGACGACGUGCCCUCUCAGCAUUUAAUGCGUCCUUUCCAAUUCGCUGGCAGACGGUGUUAGGGUCAUCCAGUAGACGGCGCGCCUAUGCAGUCUAUUGACGAACAGUGCGCCCGUGCCGUGCGGCGUACUAUGCUCACCACCCCUUCUACAAGAAGCUUCCCCUGCACACCGAGGAUACGCAGAUCUCGGAUGUCAGGGCACAAGAAGAUUGCCCCAGCAGCAAACAUUUGUAGCUCCAAGCGCUAUAUUCAUUAUGUCUCUGGGCCCACAUAUCGGGGUUCAGUACCUUUGUGCAUGCCCCCUUCAGCUAUAAAAGGGGAGGCAUGCGGCGUUACAAGACAGAUCCAAUCUUAGGCUCACUCAGACACUCACAAGUUCAUAUAAGCUCUCAAGCAAUACAUCACACAGUGGAGUAGGGUGUUAUGCUCCAGUGGCCCGAACCACUCUAAAUCCUUGUAUGUUCUUGUGUUGUUCCCAUUUUCCGACUAACAAGCAAAACGCCUAGGCCCCUCCUCAUCUUAGGAUUUAGGACGGGUGCACUCCGCCACCCGGCCGGAGAUUUCCUCUCCGACAUUUGGCGCACCAAGUAGGGGGGCUAGGCAUUAGAUUUUUGCUUGUUUCCUUGCUCAAGCAUGAUGGUGCAAAUCGUUGAGAACCGUGCCGAGACUUUGGUAGAUUUCACGGUGGAAGGAGAAACUGCUUCUUCCACGCCACAAGUUCCCAACCACCCCGUGCCAGGCACUGCUGUUGUGCACGCCGCACGGCAGCACACGGCUGCAUAGACGUCCUAGACUCCAUCGAGGGCGACUCUGGGAGCAUUGUCAGUAGCCAGGGAGUUGUUGCGACACCCUCCAAGCUCCACGGCCUCACCAGGGGCCAUCAAGCAAUGGCGGGACGACGUCGACCGACUACUCGGUAUGGCGCAUUCUACCUCGACCAGGUCAAGGACACGGUCAUCCUGGCGCCAAUACGAGGCAUCGGCGUCUGUGCGCUCGCCCUCAGUAAGGGGCGCUCAGACCAACGACCUCCGAGCAGAACUCGACCGCAAGCGUGCGAGAGAGGAUGCCCGAGUCUCCUUGGAAAGGGCGCGCGAGCGUCACCAAAACAUCGGUGGUCGCAACCUCGAUCAAGACUUCACUGCGGUUGCACCGCAGACACCAAUGGGUAUCCGGUCUCAAACGGGUGUCCCCUUGGCCGGUGUGGGCUGCGCCGCUCUCACAGAUCAUCUCCGCGCGGCGUCAUGGUCAUCCAAGUUCCGGCCGCACCUGUCGGAAAAGUACGAUGGAACAUCAAACCUGUCGGAGUUCCUGCAGGUGUACGUCACCGCCAUCACGGCAGCAGGUGGAAACACCGCUGUGAUGGCAACAUAUUUUCAUGUCGCCUUGUCUGGACCAGCCCGGACUUGGCUCAUGAACCUCGCCCCAGGGUUAGUCUACUCCUGGGAAGAGCUCUGCGCGCGGUUCGUUGCGAACUUCGCCAAUGCUUACCAGCAGCACGGUGUGGAGGCCCACCUCCAUGUGGUGAGGCAGAAGCCCAGGGAGACUCUCCAGAAAUUCAUCUACCGCUUCACCAAGGUGCGAGGUACCAUACCUCGCAUUUCUGAUGCUUCCAUCAUCACGGCCAUCUGACAGGGAGUACGUGAUGAGAAAAUUCUAGAGAAGUUGGCCACACAUGACGUGGAAACUGUCCCCACACUCUUUGCUCUGGCCGAUAAGUGCGCCAGAGCCGCCGAGGGUCAUGCAUGGCACUCGGCCCCACAAACCGGAGCUGCCCAGUCAGGUGGCUCGGGUGCCGUCCCCCGGGACAGAAAGAAGAAAAAGAAGAAGGACCGCGAAUACCGGAAGCCGCGGUCCACCGCUCUGGUUGUCGCAACCACGACCAGAGGCCUGGGCGACCGCAACAAACAUCCACGACCGCAGAAGGGUAACAACGGCUCAUGCCCUGUACACCCCAACAGUCGCCACAGCUCUGUGGAGUGUCGCGAGAUCAUUGACCUCGCGAAGCGUGUCAGUGAGCGGCGCGAGCAGUCUUCCAAAGACGGCUCCCCACCUCGUCGCUGACCUAGCAAAGAAAAGGUGGGCGACGGCAAGGUGGCCACGACUGAAUGGGACCUCGGGUAUCAGUCACCCGAAGGGGACCUGAAGGAUGUCUUCGCUGGAGGCUCCUACUCUGGUGGAGACAACUAGACGGACCCCAGAGGGACCCCGUGUUCCCCGGUCUACGGAGCUAAAGCUUGCCUUCCUCCGGAAACCCUUCCGGACUCCCCACAGGUCCAGGCUUCUGACAGGUACAUACAGGAACGGCCACAACCAAAGGCGAGGGCUCCCGUGUCAAAUGCAGAUGGGGACCCAGGGUCGGGACAUAGCCCUACGGCAAGUACCAAACCAAGAAGGGCUCUGCAACUCUCCCCCAGCUGGGAAGGACCCUUCAAGGUAACGGGAAUGCACCGACCCGAGGGCAACCAUCUAGCUACGACUAAAGGAGUCUCUCACCCCGAUGCUGAAACAUCUCUGUAAGUUCUAUCCAUAGAGCAAGUCUGAGGGGUCGAUUUAGUUGCCCUUUUGUAACCAGGUAGCACAUACGUGUACGCCAACCUAGUGGGGUCCAUCCACAUAAACCUAGCAUGUUGGUCUGCACCCACGCAUGAUGAGUUAUAAAGAAAAACUACCCCCUCAGUUGAGCCCCUAUGAUAGUUCCAUCUCGCUGCUCCAUGGUCUUACCUUGUAGUUUUUCAGAUAAUACUUUUUAUCUAACCCACCCGUACGGUUUCCAUCUGUACUGACAUGACGACAUCCAAAUUGAGCAGUCAGGCUUACAGUUUAGGGCCCCCGAUACGAAAGUUGGGAGGUCCGACAGCCUGGGAGCCGGCUCCAGAGAACGGAACCCUGUUCCAUGGGAUGGUCCGGAGCCUGUGUGACCGCUUAGCCUGGUUCCAUACCUGAAAGCCUGCACACUCCACCACUCUGUGACGGGUACCUAGUAUUUAGGGCUAUAAGUCUUGUGGGUCCGACAACCUCGGGACCGGAACUAGAGAAUGGACAUUAGUCUUCUGGGGUGGUCCGGAGCCCGUGUAGCCGCUCAGCCUGGUCCCGUACCGUGGGCCUGCACGCUCCACCGCCCUGCGACAAGUGUCCUAGUAUCUAGAGCCACGACCCAAGGGGGUCCGGACACGCAACUUGGCCACCCGGGCUGAAACCUGCGAGUCCCGAACAUGUAUCAAAGGAUGGCUAAUGUCAGACAGGGGACCCUAUGGGUGUACUACUAACGCUCCUUAGCUGAAGUUGUGAACAGAUCCAGACCUCGGUGAGGCUGCUUCCCGAGAAUUAUUGACAACCUUUUCAGAUACGCUGGUACCCAACCUCAACAAAUCAAGCCUGCAUCCUAGGCUGGGGGGGGGCAGGUACCAGGGAGGAGUCAACAAUAUCGCACACAACAAAAACAAGUUGAAAAUAGAUAAGUGCUAAUACUUCUUAACAAAUAGUACUCUUGAGUACCUUACAAAAAGCAAAAGUAUUACAUCUGUUUUUCAAGUGGAGCCCUAGUUCCAUCUCUACUCUGCAGGUAUGAACUACCUCCACACCAGUAGGGCCACGAGAUAGCUAGCUCCGAGCGGCUCGCUAGCGGAGGCGACCACCUCAGCAUCGACGGCGGUGGCCACCUCUGCACCGACGACUCACCAGCAAUGGCGAUCACCUCAGCACGUGCGCCAUUGCGAAAAGGUCCUCGCCCCCGUCUUCCUACGGGGGGCGACAACGAGGCCAUUAAAGCUAAAGAGUCAGAAGGCUCGGUGGCAGGUGGCGCUGAUGGUCUCGCCAGCGGAGGCAACCACCUCUGCAACGGGCAGCCUCACCAGCGGCGGCGACCACCUCAGCACCAACGACAGCGGCCACCUCUGCACCGGUGGACGGCGGCUGCCGCAGCACACGCGAAGAGGUCCUCGCUCCCGUCCUCACUGCAGGAGUGGGGACAAGACCAUCCAAGAACGCGGUCGUCGCCCCCACGGCGUACGAUGUCUUGUACGGCCCCCGGUGCGGCCGUCGGCGCAGGAGAAGCCGUGGACGUGGCGGACCUGCGCACGGCACGACUGUCGCCUGUGCGGUGGAUGGGCAGCCACGCCCCAACUAAACAGCAGGAGGCAGCGUCGGAGGCGGCACCGAGGCCAUCCAAGCUGGGGAACCGGGCACGCGGCGGCCGGCGGCGCCUGCAGUCGGCCGGUCCCGCGUACCCGAAGUUCACCUCCUCUGCAAGGCUGGUGAACUCCCUUCUCCCCCGAAUGCUGGAGGAAGAAGCGGGCCGCCAGCCCAUGUGGAAGGCGGGACCCCAACUCGGCUCGCCCUCCUCCCCAGCGCGGAUGAUGAACAUCCUUGAAGCUGAGGGCAGGGGGAGGCCACAGCCCAGCUUGCUUCUCUCCACCACAAGGCUGGUGGUCAUCCCUCUAGAUGACCACUGGCGGGAGAUUGCAGUUGGGCUGCAUGAUGAAAAUCCUUGAAGCCGAGCGAUGGAGGAAGAGCGCCAACCCCUACAGGGUUGCGCUCCUCUAACAGCAGCAAGAAGAAGACAAGAUCGGCAGCACCACCACGAGCGCGAGCUCUCCGGCGGUGAGAUCCCUGGAGGGGGCGGCCCUGACACGGAUCCCUCCAGAGAACACCGGCGCACCCCAUCUGGAGGCCCGGAAGGCGGAAGGGCGUGAUGAAUGCAAGAGGAGCAAAGCAUGGCUACUGGCCGGGAGAUCGAUCCCUUUUUAAAAGCAGAUCUUCCCACUCGCGCCCCGAAGCGUCACGAGCAAGGUCUCCCCCGAUGUGCACCAGGGUUCCCACCCUAUGACACGGGGGCCAAGUCCCACAUGUCAUACUGACUGACCCAAAGAACGAAGAAGGCGAACCACCGCACAAGGAGCAUACAACUGCCCCACGGUUAUGUGCCCCUUCAUUUUUGGAGCAACCAGCGGUCAGGAAGGCGAACCGCUGCACAAGGAGCAUGCAACCUCCCCGCGUUCAUGCGCCCCUUCGUUUUCGCCGAAACCAGCAGUCAGGAAGGCAAACCGCCACGAAGGAAGCGUACAACCGCCCCAUAGUUGUGCGCCCCCUCAGCUUCGCUGCAACUGGUGGUCCGACAUGGGACCCAGGCCCACAUGUCAUGCAGCCGACGCGCCAGUUACCGGGUGCGGAAAAAUCGCACCGCCACUCGCGCCAAUGCCACGUCUUCUCGGGGCCGACGUGGAAGACUAAAAAGAUAAGUUUCCAAAACCAGUGCAGCGACUCGAGGCAUCCCGCGCAUGGCCCAACAGUGGCUUUAAGUACGAAGGUCGAGGGCCAGUCAGCCGUGGGAAUAGGCGUAGCAGUCGGCAUGACCAUAGGCGAGCCGACAAUAAUUGCGUCAACAGGCGCGCAGGAGCAGUAGGCCAACCGCUAAUCAGACUCUGGCCCCACCUGCAGGCUCGCAUCCUCCCCUAAGACGGGCCCAGGGGCCACUGUCGGUACCCUGAAUCAGGGGUACCCUCUUCUACAGCAUGAAGAUGCUGCACACGUACGACGCCUCCAGACCACACGGAGAACGGCACCCAACCCCACCACAUGGGCAGGUCUAAGGGCACCACGUGGCAAGGAAAGAUAAUACAUCCCAGGAUGCAUCAUUGGGUCCGGGCCUCCAUACAGGGACACCAGACCCCUGUACGUACAAGUCCGGAGCUCCCAAGAAGGCAUGUCGGGUCCCUCGGUUAGGCCCCGGGUCCCUCCGAGUAAGGUUCGGGCCUUGGCAAGGUCCCGGGACGGGGAGGACCCCUGCAUGAGUAAGGGUCCGGUUCUGGCACGUGUCCGGGCCUUGCCCUACGCUCCCCACUCAGGCAGAGACCAGCUGCUGCCGCGUGGCUUGUGGCCCAUGACAUAAGCCAACAGGCCGAGCCUGACGAAAAGCCCCUAAAGCCGCACAACCUCUGCAUUUAUUGCGGAGAGGACACGUCGCCUGCCACCACGCUGAUGGAUGACGUGCCCUCUCAGCAUUUAAUGCAUCCUGUCCAAUCCGCUGGCAGACGGCGUCAGGGUCAUCCAGCAGACGACGCGCAUGUCCAGUCUGUUGACGAACAGUGCGCUCGUGCCAUGCGGCGUACUAUGCUCACCACCCCUUCUACAAGAAGCUUCCCCUGCACGCCGAGGAUACGCAGAUCUCGGAUGUCAGGGCACAAGAAGAUUGCCCCAACAGCGAACAUUUGUAGCUCCAAGCGCUAUAUUCAUUAUGUCUCUGGGCCCACAUAUCGGGGUUCAGUACCUUUCUGCAUGCCCCCUUCAGCUAUAAAAGGGGAGGCAUGCGGCGUUACAAGAUAGAUCCAAUCUUAGGCUCACUCAGACACUCACAAGUUCAUACAAGCUCUCAAGCAAUACAUCACACAGUGGAGUAGGGUGUUACUCUCCGGCGGCCCGAACCACUCUAAAUCCUUGUGUGUUCUUGUGUUGUUCCCAUUUUCCGAAUAACAAGCAAAACGUGUAGGCCCCUCCUCAUCUUAGGAUUUAGGACGGGUGCACUCCGCCACCCGGCCGGAGAUUUCCUCUCCGACAGUUAUAAAAUCACAACUUUUACAUAUAACCAGAUGAAUAUAAAGUUUAUAUAAAAAUUGUAGAGCUUGAAGAGAUCUAUAACUUUAUAGUACAUCAUAUUUUUGUUGAACAUAUCUUAAGGUCGAAAUCAUUGAAAUAAUAUCCAAAUUUAUAUCAAAUUAAUAGACUUUAUCAUUUUCAUAUGGGGACUUAAGGUUAUCUUCAUGUGGGGACUAAAAGUUAUCUUCUUAUAGACUAUUUAUUAGUCUUAGUAACUUAUUUGCCAUUUUUGGUGAUUUUCCAUAGAAAGAAUUAAUAUUACAUAAAUAGCCUAAAUAAUUCAUGAAAUUUUGUGGAGACCUAACAUAUGUUCAUAAAUGAUCAUAAAAAAUAUUUGGAUCAUAAAUCUCACAAGAUGUUAACAUUUCUUCCAUUUUAUUUACAAUUAUUGCGUGAGUUACACGUGAAAUCAUUCUAUGUAUCCAUGUUUCAACAUAAUCAAUACUUCACUUAUCAUUUUCAUGUGGGUACUUGAGAUUAUCUUAGUAUAGAAUGUUUAUUAGUUUCGACAACUUAUUUGCAUUUUUUGUCAAAACUAGAAUAUUUUAUGAAUUUAAUUGCAUUUUGAUGAUUUUCUAUAGAAAGAAAUUAAUAAUACACAAAUAGCCUCAUAAUUUCAUGAAAUUUUACGGAGGCACAACAUAUGUCCACAUAUAGUCAUAAAACAGUGGGACAAUAAAAUCCAUAAGAUGUCAGCAUUUCUUCUAUUUCACUUCCACGUCUUCGCGUGAGUUACACGUGAAAUCACUCUAAGUAUCCAGGUUUCAACAUAAUUGAAAACUUCUCUUUAUCAUUUUUGUGUGGGGACUUGAGGUUAUCUUCUUAUGAAAUGUUUAUUAGUCUUGAUAAUUUAUUUGCAAUCUCUGGUCAAACAAGGAUAUUUUAUGAUAAGCAAUUCAUUCAUUAUCUAGCAAGUAUAUGAUAUCCAAUAAAAUAAUAUAUGUAUCCGUCACUUAUCCGCAUGAAUAAAUAUCUGGUCCAUGUAUCCAUAUCCACCCCAUUUCUAACUAUCCAUAUCAGACCCCAAUUCCAAUUGAAAUACAUUUGGGUAGGAUACAGGAUGAUCUACUAUUCAUCUCGUUUUCACCCCUACAUUUUAUUGUUGGUAUUGUCUUUAUGAUCAUUUAUUUAGUUAGAAUGGUAUAUACUUAUACUUAGUAACUGCUAAUAAAAUUUUGAUCAACAAAAUUAAAGCUAAUGUUUAGCAUUAGCCAUAUUCCUUGGUAAGCUUACACUGCUUUUUUCCCUACACAUUUGCUGAGUAUCAACCAUAAGUGUACUCACUCUUGAGGGAUUUGCUGCUCGGAAUUAGGUCAACAUGAAGAAGAAUACUAUGAUGAGUUCGAGGAGUCUAGGCUAUGUCGCUCCGGUUCACCUACCUGUGGCUUAUGAUCGGGAUCGUCGUCGUCGUGAUCAUCGUUUAGUUUCUAUUAUUUAGUUAUUUUGUAAAGACAUUUUACUUAUACAAUAAAGUUUGUGGAACUAGUUUCUAUACAAUAAGUCAUCAUAUGUGUGAAAUUUGAUCCUGGCACACAUAUGAGAUACAUCAGGAUUUGUCCUUAAAUCCGGUUGUGACGCCGACCAUGUUGGUCGUGUGAUAUCCUGGCCCCUGAGAUGGUGUUUUCCUGGCCCAAGGCUUAAUAGAAUUAAUAGAGUAUCCAUACCAACAAGGUGCAUCUUCUUUUUCGGAAGCCUAUCUCGAAAGAAUUUCCAUGUUAAGCGUGCUUGGCUUGGAUCGAUUUGGGAUGGGUGACCACCGGGAAGUUUUCUCAGGUGCACAUGAGUGAGGACAAACUGUGCAUAAAAGACUCGUGUUGGUCUGUGGGGACGAUAUAUGAUCCUAGAGAGUUGUCCAGAAUAAGUAUCGCCGGUCCAGGGAUUGGAUGGGGUGUUACAAGUGGUAUCAGAGCCGACCCUCGAGGUUUCACGGGCGUGUGUGGGCUAGGGGUUUGGGUAUAUGGCGCAUGGUGCAUGUGGGCCCGGAGUGGUCAUAUGGCAUGGCAUAUGACGACACUAGACACACAGACGUGGCUAAGAGGGGAGGUUCCUGGAUUGGGGUUGACCGACGAGGACGUUGGUCUUCUAAGGGGGGGUGGAUUGUGAUAUCCUAGCCCCUGGGAUGGUGAUUUCCUGGCCCAAGGCUUAAUAGAAUUAAUAGAGUAUCCAUACCAACAAGGUGCAUCUUCUUUUUCAGAAGCCUAUCUCGAAAGAACCUCCAAGUUAAGUGUGUUUGGUUUGGAUCAAUUUGGGAUGGGUGACCAACCGAGAAGUUUUCUCGGGUGCGCAUGAGUGAGGACAAAGUGUGCACAAAAGACUCGUGUUGGUCUGUGGGGACGAUAUAUGAUCCUAGAGAGCUGCCAUGAGUAAGUACCGCCGAUCCUGGGAUUGGACGGGGUGUUACAGGUCGGUAUCAACCGCGCAUUAGAGUCUUGCUGGUAUCCACCAUGUCCGGUCGGUACCAACCACCUAGUGCCGAUGUGGUAGAUUCUAUUCAGUAGAAUCCAUUUUAAUCGUUGGAAUUCAAAAAAAAAAUCAAAAAACUUAAAUCCACCCAUUAAAUAUAGAGGGGGUGUAUGGGUUCAUUCGCACCCCUCACUCUUCAAUUCACAAGCCUUCUUCUCUAUUUGUUGUCGCCCACUCUCUAUCUUGCAUGAAUCCAAGGUGGAUUCUUAACUUUGAUAUGUUCACCGACUUGCACAACAAGCAAUCUCCACAAUAUCUUGAGACCCCCUUUUGGCGUGGGCAGAUCGUCUCCGAUGGUCUUUCUCCUAUCCAACAUUGGCUAGAAGAUGUAUAUGUUUGUCUUCAUUUCUUGACUCUCCAACCAUUGUUCCAUAUUCGUAUCCAUGUUGACCAUCAAUUGAUGUUCCUCCUCCUACCACUGAACCAAUUACAUCCAACGCUCCUUCUCCUCCUACUAGUGAAGUUUCUUCCACCGAUGUUACUCCUCCUCAACCUUUCACUUAUUUGUACCUUCCUCCAUACCUGUACUUGUAUGGGUAUCCAUAUGAUGAUCCUCCCUCAUUUCUUCCUCUAUAUGAUGCUCCUCUAAUAUAUGGUGCUCAUGCUCCUUUUUACCCUUUCAUAGGCACGACAAUGCCCCCAAGCAGCCAUAACGAUGCAGCCUCCAACUAGUCCACAUACUCUGGUGUGACUUAGUUCCAACGACAAAUGGAUUGGACUAGUAUGGAGGACAAAAGACUCGUAAGUAUUAAGUACAUAUAUAUUUUUAUAAAUCGGACACAAGUUUUAGGCCGACAACAUUUUUUAGUUCAUAAACUUGUAGGUCCACACAUGGCUAUUGCACUCUAUUGACCCCAUUAAGAGAAAUGACAAAAAUGGAUCUGUCUUUUUGUAUAAGCCAAAUAAUAACUAUGUGCAACUCCACCUCAAAACCUCCUAACCAUAAUACCCCAAGCAACCAAAGGACCAGUGGUCCAUAAGCAAUCAUAAGGUCACCCUCUUCAAUGACACCUACAACCAAUUAUCCAUGGCAUGGCUAGUGGAGCAAAUUGUGCUAUGCUUCUCAAAGUGGAAAAGAAGAGCUUCCACAAUAGGCCUGGUGAAACGUACUUUCAACUAGAGCACAUAUGGAGUGCUCUUCACAAGUAGCCCAAGUGGUGCGCGUGGCAUGAUGAUGAUGAUGCUAGAUAUGCAAGCAAUCGACCACGUCUCAAAAUAGAAGUUGAUUAUAGCUCUGCAUCGCUAGACAAUGUCGGACCCAUAUGACAUAUUGGCCAUGAAAGGGAAAGAGCGCAACACAAAGGGAAGGGGCCAACAACGAGUAGCAUGGUGAACAAGCUCUACAAGGCUAGCUAGAGGAUAACACAAUCAAAAUUAUUUGAGCACUUCACCAAGUUAUUAGAUCAGCCAACCAUCGAUAUGAAUGAUGUCUUGAAAAAGACACAUAGGUUGGGUGUAAAAAAUGACCAAGCAAUUAAAACUAGAUGAGGAAGAAAAUGUGGAACUGAUAGAGGAGGGUGAUGACGAUGAGUAGUAGUAAUGUAUUAUUUUUUACAAACAUGUAUUUUUAUUUAAAAAAUACAAAUUUAUUUAUUUUAAUUAUGUAAUUUUAUUUUCUUAAUUGCAUGAUCAGAUGAUUUUUCCAACAAAAUAUAGUGUAUUUUUCAAAUACAAAUCGGUAAAAGAAAAAGAUAGUGUGGUGUUGACGUGACUAUGGUUGACAAUAAACUUGUAUAUAGUCUUAUAAUUAAUAAGGGAUCAUAGCACGAUUGAUAGUGUGAUUGAUAGCUGAUGGUGAUAAGUGUCGAGUGCAUUAGAUCUAGCCUAGGCCAUAUGGAUUAUGUUAUCACAAGCCUGGAUCACUAUUCAUAGUAUGAAAUAUGUUAAAGUCUAUGGCAUAUUGUCAAAAGUAUUGAGAUUCUUAAUAUGAAUUGAUGCUAAAAUGCUUUUGCACAGACAAUUGAUGAUGCAAGAGGAUAUAUUAGCAGGGGUGGGCUCAAUUAUAUUAAAUGGUAUUCGAUUGAAUAUCUAGUUUUUUGGCAAGAAAAAUUAUCUAUUUAGUGUAUAUAUGUAUACAUACUGGACAGAAGAAAAAUGAAGAUAAAUAAAUAUACAAUGAAGAAUUGGGUCCAAAAUAGACUUUUCUACUAUCCCCUCCCCAUCCUUGGACUAAUGGCCCAUUUUGGUUGAAGAAUGUAUAAGGCAAAAAGCCAAAAACAACUUGGCCUCCCCACCCUACCUAUUCACUCUAUUUCUCAGCCUCACACCUAUGACUGCUGAAAGCAUCUAGGCCCUCAAAAGUUAUGAUGAUUAAUGACAACAUAAGAUUAUUGUGACUAAUUUGUGUGUUGCAUAGGCAAAUUUGAGUUAGAUCAUAAUGAUGGAGAAUGGUUUAGAGAAUGUAUGUUUUCUAUGCCCCUACUUAUGAAUUUCGUUGUGGUCUUCAAAAGGAUGAAAGACACGGUUAAGAAUCAAUUAGUUCUAAGUUUCGAUUGGAGUUGAGACACUCAGAGUAGUUUGGGACUUAGUUGUUCCUUUUACCAUACUAUAAAGGGAGUAGUUUAGGACUUCGCUUUUCCUUUGAUCAUACUAUAAGAGGAGUAUAAACUAGUAGCUUGACUAAAUAAGUCUAAUGAGUCUAGUGUGGCAUAAACUAGUUGUUUUUAACGCUAGCUGACUUAGAAGGGGCCAAAAACUAGUCAGGAUCAAAACUCAACUCUUAAGUUUCAAAAUUGGACAAGUUAGAAGGGUUUCAAUGUCUUAGACCUUGUGUUUUACGGUUAUUAGACCAUAGUGGAUUAGUCUAAUUCCUCCACAUAGACAACACGAUAGCACCCAAUCAUCAAACCCUAAAACAGUACCUCAUCGAACCAAUGCAUUGGGUCUAAUUGUUUGUGUGAUCAGAUGGAGAGCUCUAGGGGUACGUCGGAUUGGUUUGAUGAUAUGUGUCAGACUGAACAAUGGCACUAUUUCAGCUACGGUUUUGGCUACAGGGUCAUCGGGCGCUAUGAACAGUUGCCUCAUUGAACCAAAGAGGAUAAGUUUAACAAGUGUUGCCCAAUGACUAGAGAGAUUUUUGUGGGCAUCAUACUAGUCCGACAAUGGGUGUAGGAUCAUACGUCGAAGGCUAAGUUUUAAAUGACCAGUUCUGACAUGGCACAAUAGUUACCAUUGUGUCUCAUCAGACCCUACAUUAAGGUACGACAAUGAUCGUUGGAUGGUAUGUCGAUGUUGAAUUUAGCCUAACUUGGCAGUAAUGGUUGGUUAGCUGGUUUGAGACUACAAAUAUCCCCAUCAAAUGGCCAACACACCUACCCUUGUCUUCAUUUAAUAGCCAAAGCAACCCAUAUAUUGUGAGAUAAGGAGUCAUUGCAUAGUGGGGGACUUGAGAGUCGGAUUCCUAAUUUUAUUGGCCUAAUUAAUGCAAACAAGAGAGAUUAGUGUGCAUCCAUUAAUCUCAUCAGUUUUUUAGAGACAAGUGAUAAUUUGUGUUUAUUACUCUUGGUGACUAGCAUCACCUAUAUGGUUUGGUGGCACUUGAAGUGCAACGAGCAUCUAGAGAGAUAGUGGGUGGCCCAACUAAAAAACUAUAUAUGGUUGUGAGCGGUUCACCGUGAUGAAGUGGAAAAGAACUAGCUUGCAGUGAGCACUUAGUCCUUGUGCGAAUCAAGGGGGUGAAAACCUUAUGUGGUUGCUCCAAUAAUGAGGAUUAGGGAAGAACGUCAACUCUCUGUGACAUCAGAACAAACUUGAGGAAUCUUCUAAAUCCUUGCAUUACUUUCCACAAUUAUGUUUGUACAAAUUUACAUUCUUAGAUUUGCCAUGAUGCAUAAUGUUGAAAUUAAGGCACAAAAUUUUUGUAUACACAUUAGACACUUGGGUGAAAUUAAGCUUAUUAUAAUUAGGAUAUGCAUAUGUAUUGUGAUGAAGAAAAAAAUGAAGAUCAAUAAACAUCUAGUGACAAAUUCAAUAUAAAAUAGAUUUUUCUACUCCCCUCCCCUCCACACCCGGGGAAAUCCUCAGCCACCCUUCCCCACCUAUUCACUCUCUUUCUCGGUCCCUCCCGUGAGUGUAACUGAAAAGGUGGUGAUCGAAAACACUGCAAGCCCACUACUUCUCCCCGUUUGGAAUUAAACACCAAUAAGGAAGAUGUCAAAAGAAAUAGGGAUGGUCAAUUCUUGUGACCCUAUAAAAUUUUCCUCCUUCCAAAUGAAAUAUCCCCCUUUGUUAUAAGAAUUUGUUCACAAUAAUUUGACCGUUGCGAUAAAUAGACUAAAUUGAUCCUAUAUGUAUGCAUAAAUAUGAUGAAUAGCAAACCAUAUGAAUAACAUAUUAAUGAAUUGAAAGCAUGUGGGAGUUUAACCUAUACGAAGAAAGCAAGCAAGAGAUACUAAAUACUCUUGAAACCAAUAUGCAUGGUAUUAAAGUUGAUACUAGUAUGUAUGGUACCUAUUGUUGUAGAAAUCUCGAAACACAAAGAAUGUUACUUGAUAAACUUGUUUGAUUUCAAAGCCUUGAAGAGAACGAAAAACACUCUACAUAAUGUUGAUAUAUGGAACGUAUAAACAAACAUAACACGCGCGGGGUAAUUAGCUUAUUAAACUUGACUAGUAGUGUGGGUUGACGGUGAAGCACUUCCCCCUGAUCUCUCCCUCGUCGCCGGUGAGCACCUGGACCUUGCCCAUCUUAGCUAAGACCUUGGCAAACUUGACCUGCCAUGCCUUCUCGACUACGACGUUGAAGUGGACCAUUCCGGCCGUCCAAGGAUUGUCGAGCAGUGUGUUGUCAGAGACGAACAGGACCUUUUGCGCUAGCUCGUUCUUGUAGUACUGGUUGUCGAAGGUCGCCGGUGUGACUGGGUCAAGCGGCACCACCGUGGGGUCCAUCUGGUCGUUGGUGGACGGCCAAGGGCACCGCGCCUUGAGGUGCCCGGCGUAGGCGGGGUCGAGGGACGGGUCUGUCCGCCCCAGCUGCCCGCUGAAGUUGUAGAGCCGCUGCGUGAAGGAGGAGCAGUGGGAGCGGACGAUGGUGUGCGCGCCAUAGAGCGUGACCAUGUCGUCGGCGUCCUCCACGGGCCGCGGUCGGCACUCGCUCCUCCGGGGCCACCAUCGCCGUUGCUCGUGCCUCGGUAACCACCGCCGACGAGUGAGGGGGCGUGUAGCUCGCUUGCGCCUCACCGGGCCGCGGCCGGCGCCCGUGCCUCAUGGGCUGUCGGCAUCGAUCGCGCCUCUCGGGCCAUCAUCGUCGCUCGUACUCAGGGAACUGCUGUCGUCGCUCGUGCGUCAGGAUGGUGGCGUCAAAAAAUGAACUCUAGAGGCCUAGAACUCCUUUUAUAGACGUUGAUACCUGAUUGGGUUGGACCGCGUUGCCUAGUUUCUAGACUAGGCUUCCUUUAGUUAUUAAAAACCCAAAUAUAUGGACUUUAGUACCAGUUCAUGAUUACAACCGGUGCUAAAGUUUCAACUUUAGUACGGCUCUAGCCAAGAACCGAUACUAAUAGGGGACCUUUAGUAACGGUUCUAACCAAGAACCGGUACUGAAGUACUAUCUAUAGUACCAGUCAGUGCAAUCGGUAAAUUUGCGGGCUUUUAGUGUCAGAUGCGGUCUUUUAGUCUAACUUUCAAUAAAUACAAGUACAAAAAAUUCAGUUGCAGUUCUCAAAAGCACUUCUCCCUGGAAAGAAAAGUGAAUUGUUUUGGUGAACAUCAAAGAAAAAGCUUGCUCUUCUUUCGUAAAAAAUUCUUCUAAAAAUACCGAACCCAAUCGUUGCAUAAAAGUUUGUACCGCACUUUUAUGUUUACGAGCUAAAGUUCUAGCAUAUGAAAGUCAAAAUAUAUAUUUUAGUCGAUACAAAGUCUGUUUUUUCGAAGAUCCACUAUGAUAAUGAAAAUAUUUCUACAUAAAACUCUCAGUGUUGUACAGACUACAUACACAGUGCUCGCGGGAAAAAAAGAGCUUCUAUAUUUGUGAUCGGAUGUGGUCACUAAAUAUGUACAUGCAUGUUGUGCAAAUAACACCAUUUUACUUGAUAAACUUGUUUGAUUUCACAGCCUUGAAGAGAACAAAAAACACUCUACUUAAUGUUGAUGUAUGGAACGUAUAAACAAACAUAACACGCGCGGGGUAAUUAGAUAAUUAAACUUGACUAGUAGUGUGGGUUUACGGCGAAGCACUUCUCCCUGAUCUCUCCCUCGUCGCCGGUGAGCACCUGGACCUUGCCCAUCUUAACCAUGGCCUUGGCGAACUUGACCUGCCAUGCCUUCUCGACUGCGGCGUUGAAGUGGACCAUUCCGGCCGUCCAUGGGUUGUCGAGCAGUGUGUUGUCAGAGAUGAACAGGACCUUGUGCGCCAGCACGUUCUUGUAGUACUGGUUGUCGAAGGUCGCCGGCGUGACUGGGUCAAGCGGCACCACCGUGGGGUCCAUCUGGUCGUCGCUGGACGGCCAAGGGCACCGUGCCUUUAGGUGCCCGGCGUAGGCGGGGUCGAGGGACGGGUCUGUCUGCCCCAGCUGCCCGCUGAAGUUGU
rnacentral:lncRNA from 1 species